AAUUCUGAAGUCACAUGUUUUGUUCUUUGCUAGCUUUCUUUUAGAUUUCUACAAGGCAACCUGGUUCGCCAUUGUCAUGUUUCUAGGGCGAUGGUAAGGCUUGCUUUGUUUCACCUGGCUGGGAGGUCCGCUGGGGAAUGAAACCCUUUCAGAUAGCCUUUUCUCCUUUGGUGAGCUUGGUAGUAGCCUCGAUUCAAAGUGAUUGGUUCAUAGAACCAUGUGGGUUACCCCUUGUCGACGUGGGUGUAAGUGAUAUCUGGCCCUUGAUUCUAAUGUGGCUCACACUUGGGAUGAGGUAGUAACAAAUGGUUAAGAAAAUAUUUUAUUGGUGGAUUGAUUUUGUCAGUCUCCUUUUAGGCAUUAGGUUUAGCCUUUAUGUUGUAUUCUUGAAAGGUUGAUUUUUUCUUCUCUUUUCUGUCUUUUUUCUUUUUUGCUUUUUUUUAACUCUUAAUUCAAGUUUAAGUCAUGACAGAGAAAGAUAUCCUUGAAAGUUGAAACUUCGUACACAUAAUAUUGUACUAAAAAAGCAUGAAUUUAUUGGGGUUUUAAUUAUUGUUGAUUGAAGACAGAAGGAAAGAAGAAAGACAGAACAAGAAACCCUUUAAAAGUACAGUUAAUGUGACAUGGCAUGCACCUCUAUGCCUGGCUUCCUUUGCUGGCUUUAUAAAUUGAAUUAUAAUUGUGAUUGCUGCUAAGUAGUUGUGCAUUCAGGGGACCGGGAAGGAAAGGAGUAAGUUUUUCUCACGUCAGCUGCCUCCUAGACAUCAAGCUGAAAAGUCACACAGCCAAUAUUCAAAUUUGAGUACCGUGUUAACACAAGUUCAGCAGAAAAAGAAGUUAGAUGAAGAUGAUUUUACAGUUCCCAUCUUCACUGAAUCCCAUCCAAAUCAAGAUCAUGAUAAAUAUUUUAGUAAUUUGGAUGCAAAAGAAUUCCCUCCCUCCAACUGUGACGAUACCAAUCACACAUUGAAAUUUCCAAAAGUUGCUGAUAACGAUCUAAAACAGACUAGCAUGGCUGUAGGAAGUAGCAAUCGAGGAGGAAAAUGCCUCAAAGAAGUGAAUACGAGAGAUUUUGUGGCUGCUCAGGAGCAGAUGGAUAAAGCCCUCUUAAAUUUAUCAUCAAUAAAUAAAACUGAAGGUCAGAGGAAACAAAUUGAUGGGUCUCAGUCUGAUGAACCAAGAGAUAAUCCAGCUAAUAGUAUCGUCAGAUUACAAAAGGUUGAUAAUAAUAUAAUUCCAGAGUUGUUUGCCAAGUCACAACCUGCAGGCUUUGUCCACAGUAAUGAUGUUAUGAGGGAGUCUAGUUUCAGCAUAAAUAAUAGACAUUCUUCUUCGUUCAGGGAUUUCCUGUUAGAAGAGCAAAAUAUUAUUCAUGAUCUGAGUGAUAUGACUUCACAUGAAAAAAGUUCAUGUAGCUCGCCACAAACGGAAAAUAUUGACAUGGGCGACAGUGUGUCUGAGACUUCUAUGGUGGAUUCUUUAUCUGGACUGGAUAUAUCUCCUGAUGAUGUCGUAGGAAAAAUAGGCCAGAAACAUUUCUGGAAUGCCAGGCGAGCUAUUACCAAGUAAGUUCUUCCCUUUAACGUAUGUCUAAAAUUGUGCCUUUUGGAGGAUUUGAAUUGAAGAAAUAUUAAUUCCAAAGAUUGUGACAUUUUCUAAUACUUCCCUUCCAUGUAAAUGAUUAUCAAUUAGGUGGCUUGUUAGAAUUGUACAAGACAAUGUUUAGGUAAGAGAUUAUUCAAAAAUUGAGAAUAAUUUGUGUAUCCGCAAUGAUAAGUAACUUUUCUUCCAUUAGCUGGUCUUAAAGUUUCCUGGUGGUGGUAAUUAUAAUCUAGUGAAAUAUACAAAAUGUUCAGCUACUUAAAUAGUGCCAUAAAGAACAAAGAUCUGAAAUUUUAAAUCCCUGACAGAGUGAAGACAAGAAAAAUUAAAAUGUCAGGUAGAAGAAAAGGCUUAAAUAGCACUUGGGAUCCUGAACCUUUAAAACGUUUGUGACCAACAACCUUUUUACAUGAAAAUCAUCAUUUUGACCUUUACAAGGUCAAUUUCUUAUUAAAAUCACUAUCCUGCCCUUAAUUUAGUAACUUAAAAAAAUAAAGAAAAAGAAGAAACAAAAUCUAAUUUCGAAGAGAACACCAAACCAAUAUGACAAUUCCUCCACCCCGUUAGCGGCGAUGAGACUUAUCCACUCUCCACCAGCUAAACCUGCCCAAACCCAUCACCUGCCGCACACCGGCUAUGAAGCCAACCACCCACACACUCGCACACUCCGUCCUGGUCUGCAUCACUGCUGUCCACAUCCGAAAUACAAAUCUUCUAUUUCCGUUGAUUUCCUGAACUGGGGAAUGAACACGUGAACUUCCCACCUGCCCUGCAACCGCCAUCUGCCACAAUCACCAUUGCAACCUUUACUUCACCAAUUCUCAAAAUCCAAAACAGCACCUAAAAUUGCACACAAAUUAGCAAUAUAAUUUUGCUCCAAGCUCCCAAAGUUUAUUUGCUGAAUUAGCAAAAACUGUUCAAAUUUUAUUCAAUAAAACAAUCCAUUUCAUAAAAAACCAUUUAUUUGGAGUCUUGGACCAAAUGCUAUCUACCUGUUUUUCAUCUUCCCAACCAAAUAUCCAGCUUGAAAAUCUCUCCUUGUCUUGUUCAAGAAAUGUAGUAUUUUACUUUUGAGAUUUAUAAAAAAAAGGAAGAUCUGUUCUGCAUACAAUUUGCAGAUUCUACAUCUAUGUCGCGAUUUGCAAAAGAAGAUUGUUUUUUUUAUUUUUAUUCUUAUUUUUAUUUUUAUUUUUUUGGGUCAAUGUUGGUUACAAAGGAGGCCGUGCUUGGUAUGAUCAUAGAGGUGGUGGUGGGUACUUUCUUUCUUUUUAUUUUUAUUUUUUUGGAUGAAGGUGGUACUACUUUUUGACUGGGUAGCAACCCGGUGUCGGCGAUGGUGUAGUGCCAGAGAUUUUCCCCACUUUUUCCUUCUUCACGUCGCCAGCAAAUGACAAAAUUUUGAAUCUUACAGUGAUAGUCUGGGGGUAGGGAAUGGAUUUGCUGCCAAUUUUCCCAAAUCAAAAUGCAUCUUCUUCUUGGCGAUCUAUUAUAAUAUGGAAUCAUGUAUUUAAACAGAAAGAAUUCCAAUCUCAAUUCAACCAAUCUUGUCCAUUGAUUUAUGAAUAAGAAGAUGAGAAGAGAGACAUGAAUCCCUUUUAAACAACAGAAGAACAAUUGGAAAUGAACUCAUGGCAGCGACAAUGACAGGGCUGGGGAAAGGGGGUGGAGGCAGUGGAGUGAAGAAUCGGCGGUGGUGGUGGUGGGGUUUGGGAUGUAAACGAGCCAAAGUUCUCGGCUCUGAUAAAUACAGAUCGAGCUUUUUACGGCCCGAGAAGAGCUUAGCUGAGCCAAAGCUCGGUCAAAAAAUGGGGCUCGGCUCGAACUUUUAGCACGUGCCUUUUCAAGCCAAGCUGAGCUGGCUCUUUUUUUCUUUUUCAACUGAAAAGGCAACUAUUAAAAGGGCAGCCAGCCAUAUCUGCCUUUUCAAAGGCUCUCUCGUGUUCGUGUGACUAACACAGGCCAGUCCGUGUGACUUGAUGAGCCAUACUGGCCUGCUUGGGCUCGGGCCAACACUCGAAAAUGAGGCUCGGUUCCAAUGAGCCUCAAGAAAAGUGGGCUCGGGCUUUUCCCGGGCCGAGCCACAAGUCGCUCUAGCCGACCAGCCGAAUUGACAUCUUUAUGUGGGGUGCCUAAGCCUGGUUGCCUUUCGUUUUUUUUCUUUCCUUUUUCUUUUAUUUAUUUUAUUUUUAUUCAAAUAAAAUAAGGUUACAACUCUCAUCUCAAUAAAAUUUUGUCCUUUUGAGUCUUAUUGACGGUUUCCAUCAAAAAAGGAUGUUGGCUACAAAUAUUUUAUAGGUUAGGAACCCAAGGUACUAGAAUUAAAAGGUUUGGGACCCCAAGUGCUAUCUACCUUCUGUCAUGUGAGCAUUAUCUAUUUGAAUUCAUAUUUUUUAAUAAUAUUAGCAAGUAUGUUUCAUUACUUUUCGAUAUAUGAUCACCAAUUCAUUUUUUAAUAUUUUUACGCCUGUGCCUAUUUUUCUUAUUUUGUGCUCUCGCUGCAUGCAAACUAACCGUGAGUUCUCGACAGUAGAAAUCUUUGCAUCUUUGUAUUCUGGUACUUUUUUCAGUCACAAUUUGUUUUCAUCACGCAUCUUUAUGUAACUGGUUAUUUAGCUUCUGUUUGGGUUUAAUUUCUUUGCCAAAGUUCAAUUUUCAAAAAAAGAGUGAUGGAUAAGUGAGUAGUACUUGUGGUCAUAAGAAUUGUGCGGUUAAAAUUAAUGUUUGAGAAGGGACUUUUUAGCAAAAAUAAAAAUGAAACCCGAACAGAGGCUUAAAGAGGAUAGAUCAUUUUUGUCUCUUUUGGUAUCACUUGUGAGUUGUGAAGUUCACUGUAUUGUUAUAUAGAAAUUCGUCUUUUUGGGGAGAAUCUUACUUCCCAAAUCUACUUGGAGAUACUAAUGUAUUGGGGAUGGUCUUAAAAGAUUUAUAAAUUUUGAAAUAGGUUGAUGUUUUUUAAGGAGAGUCAGCCCGUGAGAACAUAAAAUCCGUAAGUGUUUGUUACUUCCUUGGAAAGGACUGGGAUUUCAUGUAGACUCCUUUAUUUAUAGGCAUUACAGAAUGUCGUCAGUUGCAUUGUGCCAUCUUUCUCCUCUUCUAAAAACUUGAUACUGAUUUUCUUUUGAAGGCAACCAUUUGUGGGAUGAGACAAUGUUUUCUACAAUUUGAGAAAAUGUGUUUUGACAUUAUUUACGUUGGGUAGGUUUAUUACUGCACAUUCCAAUGGUUCCCCGUCCCUUGACCUCAGCAUUUUCAAAUCUUCAGCUCCUUCAUGUUUUUCGGCAGCUUAUCAUCUUUUGUAUAGGAUGGUGGGACUGAGAGAGUACAUUUGGUUCGAGAUAAGUCAGUGGGAAGUGGGCCACUCUUCUAUGUCCAUUUGGUCUCCCUCUCGGGAUGUGUUUUUCCUUCCCUUUGUGUGUUCCAGUGGUGUGUGGGUGGAGAAGAAAGAAAAAUGAUUUUGAGAAUACUUGGUUACUUGUUUUCAUGAUCAGAACAACUAAAAAUCUGUUGCAUUUUUUUGACUAUAGUACUUGGUGAUCGUGUUUAUGAAGUAUCUACUUGUUCUUGAGUAUUAAGAGUUUCUUAGAAUGUUUGGACACUGCAUCCUGACCCUUCUCUGAUUCGUAUGCAUGUUUUUAUGUACCCACUAAAAAAUUAAAUAAUGAGCCACAGUUCUUGUGCAUGACCCUGCCUGUAUGACUAUGUUGCCUAUUCACGAGGAAAUGUGCCAAUAUUCACCUUUCCGUGUAAUCAUUAUUAUUAUUAUUUUUUAGCUCAAGUUAAAUGUCCUCCAUAUUUUUCUUUCUUUUAGUGAAAAUUUGACCUCUGUAAAUUUUGUGUGGGCAUGAAUCAUCUAGCCAAUUCUAAAUUGCUAGUAAAGAUUCUGAUGAUUUCUUCUUUUUCUAUUCAUUGGCAAAUAGUGCUAUAUUGGAAGUUUCUCGUUUGGCAUGGUUAUUACUUUCCACCAUAUAUUUAUUGUAUUGUGCAUCAUCAACUCUAUACGUCCUUUUACAGUCAACAGCGUGCUUUUGCAGUUCAAGUGUUUGAGUUGCAUCGACUAAUAAAGGUGAGAGCAGCUAUUCAGUUCAUGUAGCUUUAAUUGUCGCCUUUGACCUUCUUUUCUAAUUUCUUGUGUUACCCGUGAUUUGAUUUAUGAAAAUCAGCCUUCAUAACAGUUCUCAUUAUUACCAGGUUCAGAGAUUGAUUGCCACGUCGCCACAUCUUUUGCUUGAGAGCACUGCUUGUUUGGACAAACCCAUAAAUAUUUCUCCUGUGAACAAACUUCCAUUAGAUUAUAUUGCUAAAGCGCCCCCAAAUAUUUCCAAGCGCAAAAGCAACUCCGAGAAGCCAAAUACCGAGAUUGAAUGCUCUGCUGAGAAUACUGUGGGAAGGAUGCCCCUUUCUUCCACGCAAAAUGGUAGUCGACCAUCAACUUGCAGGCCAUUUUUGGGAAAUCCUCUAUCACCAGCUGCAAGCAGUGACCAUAAUUCUGAACCGUGGUAUUUUAAUCAGGCACAGGGGCACCAGUGGUUGAUACCUGUGAUGUCUCCUUCUGAAGGACUAGUAUACAAGCCAUACCCUGGACCGGGAUUUAUGGGUCCUGUCUGUGGACCUCCAGGAUUGGCUCCAUGGAUGAGUAAUUUCUCAACUCCCGGAUAUGGAGUUCCUGCGUCAAAUCAUCAGUAUCAUCAAGUGCCAUCCUUCCCUCCUGCCUGGCCUCAAGGUUACUUCCCAACUUAUGGGAUGCCAUUCGCUAAUCCAGCCUUCUCAGGUUCAUCUGUUGAACAAACGAACCACUUCAAUGUCCAACAUCAGAACUCUUGCAAUAUGCUGAGACAGACGAAAGAAGCCGUUCCCAAUGUUAUAAAGCCGCAUGCAGCUAAGAAUAAUGAACUGCAGACGAGCACAGCCAGUAGUCCAACAGAAAGACCACAGUGCAGUCGAGAAGGAUACGCCGUGGUAGGAACAAACGCACUUCAACUUUUACCCACAUCUGCGGCUGUCAGUGUCCCUGAUUGUAAUAUUCAGUCUGCCGAACCUGAAUGCCCUGCUCGGGUGAUCAAGGUUGUGCCUCGAAAUGCCAGAUCAGCAACGGAAUCUGCUGCUCGAAUUUUUCAAUCAAUACAAGAAGAGAGGAAACAGUAUGAAUAAAUGUAGCAUUGUCAGCCGGUCCUGCUCGUUCACAUUUAUUCGUUUGAUUGAAAUUAAAGUUUUACUUAUUAUACUGUUCUGACAGUUCAAUCUUGUUGAAUACUAUGUACUAACUGUACACUUGGUGUUUCGGAUCUCAUUUUGCCUUUAAAUGUUCGGCGAAUUUUAAUUUUCACUUUCAUCUCAUAACAAGCAAUAAUCGCAACUUUCAUAAAUUUAUUGCCAAUUGUAUUCUUAUAAUCCGCAGGUCAUUAGCAAUUUAGUUGCUGCUACUAAUAAAAAUUUAACGCAACCGGUCACAACGAUGACAUUUCAUGUUUUUUGAAUUAAAUGAUGUUAUUUGUAAUUGCUCACUAUGACAGUAGUUUUACGUGAUAUACACGUGACAGAUGGUUAUUUGAUUUAUGAGUCAAUAAAAAAUUAUCACAUUAAUGCAUUAAAUAAUUGCAUGCCAUGUAUAUGUCACGUAGAGCGAUUACGAAUAAUAUAAUCAAUUUGAAUUUUACGCUACCCUUAAGUGAAACUUGAACUUAGGUUAAUGUGAAUGUUGAAGCUUAUGACUUGGUUUUAUCACAUUUCAUGUUAAUUUCACUUUAGUUAUAUGUUUUUAAUUUUUAGUUGAGAUAGAUCCGCUCUUAUAAAUAAAUCACAUUUCUUUUAAUUUAUUCAUAAAUUGAUACUACACGUACUAAUUGAUAUUAUUUUAAUAUGUUGCGUUGUUUAUUAUUUCGUGGCCUCAUCUAAAUAUCUUUAUUUUUGACAUGUUCAUAUGAAUAAAUCGUCGCCUAUUUUCUCUUUAUUCUUAACAAAGAGUUUAAUUAACACACAACGUCUGUCUGUACAUAAAAAGUUAUAUUUUCACAGCAUAGAAAUAAAUUCAAUUAUCACAUUUACAAAUUAAGUAAAAAUUGCGGUCUUAAAUCUUUCACUUUACUAUGACCUUUACCCUAAUCUUUUAUUUAUUGCAAUUUCAGCUCCAAAUUUCGUUUUUUUUUUUUUUUGACAUCGAAGGUACAAGGAUGGAUUUCAUCUAAAAUAUCCAUCAGUUGAUCAAAAAUCAAGAGCAUGAUAAAUUUACAUUUUCAUAUAAAAAAUGUUUCGUGGACUGGAGCAGACUACCAUGAGAGAAAAAAUAAGAUUAAAUGUUAAAAAAAAAAAGUGUAUUUUAAAUCCGUCAUAUGAUUUUAACUCACAGGCUGUCACCCCUAACUUUUCUUCAUCCCUUGAAUUCUUGAUGCGAAGAGGAUCUUCUAAGAGCGACUUUUUAUUUAUUUAUUUAUUUUUUCAUAUAUUCAUAAAAAAUUAAUCCCCAAAAAAUCAUCAAUCACAGAAGCGGAUAAAUCCCCAUCGGUCAGUUAUGGCGUCCGUGCGUGCUUCGAUUAUAUAUUCAAUGGAUCAGGUGACAUCGCCGAUUUUAAUUUUAUUGCAGGUUUUAUAUACCAUUUUUUGUAAAGAAAUAAAUCGACAAUGUUUACACGCAUUUUUGGGAAACCUAAGCAAGAGACAAAUGCUCUGGCAACGCUGGACAAGUUAAAUGAGGUAACGAUAUUUGAUCUUUGAAUUAGUUGUGAAUUAUUUGAUUAUUUUUGUCUUAAAAUAAGUUUAUAUUUUGUGAUUAUAAUGCAAUAAUAGUUUUAUUGGAUACUUUCUUGUGGUAAAAGUGAGCGUGUUAGUUGAGACAAUUAAGUUUGUCAAACAGUUUCGAUAGGUUAGAUUUUUGUUUCAUAUUUGAUAUAUGAUUUGAAUUCAACUCUCUAUUACCUAUUUCCGGUAAGAGUAGUUAACUGCAAUGUGGGUAAUGUUACCUGUUCUCUAGUUCAAAUGUUCAAUUGUCAAGCAGAAAACAAGCUUUUGAUCUUAUUUAAUAUAGGGAUGCUUCCAUUUGGCACUAUCUGGUCCUGAGUUUCAGUUAUGAAAGAACGAAAAAGUGCGUAGGAAAACCUUUUCUUCUUUUGGUUUUGUAGGAAAAAUAGUCGUGCAUAAAUUAUAUUCAAAUAGCUUAGCUUUUACGUGCAUAAAAUUGGACAGAAUUUUGACUUACCAAAAUCAAGUGCGUAAAGUAGAAAUGAGAAAUGCAUGAAUAUUGAAGUGAAUAAGCAUUAACAUGAUAAUUUCAUAAUGUAAUGAUAAAAAAAGUGAAUGAAUGAAUGAAAACAAGCAAAUGAGGUCUAUAUAUAAAUGUUGAAAAUGUUUGUCUCAAAAGACAACCUAUGGAAGAGACACAACUAUUGGAAUUAAUCUCCAUAUUUGAAGAUACACGUCUAUUGAAAAAUAAUAAUGUCAAAAGUUACAAUCUUUCAUAUAGAAUGACGCACCUCUUUAGCUAAAUAACUUCUAGAAUAUUCCAUAAUAUUCUAUGUAAUUUUUCAAUAAUUCACAUAUUUAAGUGACUUAAUUUUCCAUUCACCAAAUAACAAUAUCCACUUAAAUAAUUAAGAAUUGGUCAAAACCAAUUUCAUAUACAAAUUUUCAUAUGAGAACUUGAGGGAAUGAUUGCAAUCAGCACGAGGACAUGUAGAGAGACUUGACAACUUACAAACUACUUUCCUUUCGUAUUUCAUGGUCUUCAACUAUAGCUAUAGAGCUUUUAGACUUUCCUUUUAGUCUGUUCGGAGAAAAAAAAAGUGUGGGAAAUUUAUGAAAACCUAUUUUACUUUACUUUUCUUCUUUUUCUAAAAGAAAUAUAGAAUCCAUGUGGAGACGUAAUGUUCAUGAGAUUAGACUUAAACAUUUGAUUGCUUUGGCAAUUAUUCACUGACUGAAGGCAGUUCUUCUCACCAGAUUAAUCUCAACCAUUUAAGUUCAUUGCAUUAUUUUUUAUAUGACUACAGUCAAGUUUUCGCGGGAUUCAAAAGCUUGGCAUUUCGAUAUCAACAUAUACUCAGUUAAAUACCAUCCCAGCUUGGUCUUUUGUAUUUAACUGCGAGAUAGAGAUUGACAGAGUGAAUGAAUACCCAUUGUAGGAUAAUAAUUUUCAUGUACUUACAAUGAAUAAAUAGCAUGGAGGAAUUCACCUUAAAGCUAGAUUGACCUAAAGUUUUGCAUUUGUAAUAUUCUUAUAAUUUUAUGCUAUUUUAGUUCAUAGAAUUCUUUUUGUCAUCUUUAUUUUAUUAACUGUGCUUGGUCAAUCUGUGCAGACUCUUGAGAUGCUAGAGAAAAAAGAGAAAGUUCUUAUGAAGAAGACUGCUGCCGAAGUUGAGAAAGCCAAGGAGUUUACAAGAGCCAAAAAUGAAAGGGGAAUGAUCUAUUUACUAUAGCUUAUGUAAGUACUCUUACCAUCCAUUGCAUCUAUGUAGAAUUUCCCAAUUUUAAAUGCUGUCCUUUUUGAGAUACUUGGCUUAUCACCAUGAUUUUCUACAUUUUAUUCCACUAAAAGCAAUUUUUCCUUGAGAACCCAUUAUGUCAAUUAUUUCAAACCGCUUCUUAACCUGAUAACUUGGACUCAGUAAUUCCCGUUUCAGUUGAGGCCUUAAAAUAUCCGUUUAUCAAUUUGUGAUCAACUUAAUCUAUUAUACACAGAAUUGUAUUCUGCGAUCUGCCCUUCCAUUGUCCCAUAUAGGCCAGCAAUAUAUGUCUUGAAUUUUUUCCCCUUGCCUUGCAAUUUUUAUGAAGAAUUUUCUCCCAUAUCUUUGUUAACAGCUGCAAUACAAUGUUUGAAGAGAAAGUGGCUCUAUGAACAAAAAGUUGAACAGCUUGGAAAUUUUCAGUUGCGUAUCCAUGAUCAGGUGCUCAUGAUCUUUUUUGAACAAGAUAGUUUUUCAUGAAUUUCAAAUUUUUAACAUUCUAUUCUUUACCUUUUUUCAGAUGAUAAUGCUAGAGGGUGCAAAAGCUACAACAGAAACUGUUGACGCUUUGAGAACUGGAGCAGCUGCAAUGAAAGCCAUGCAGAAGGCGACGUAAGUUGUAUUACAAUCCCGUCUAACUGUUUUAUAAUUAAGAAAAUUAAAUUCGAACUGCAGCAAGGGAAGUGGUAUAAACUUGAAGCAGCCUUUUAAGAUAGACUUUCAAAGGCUGCACCAAGAUUUGAAAAAUGUUGUGUUGAGCUCAUAAUUUAGAUGUUUCUUUGUAGCUCCAGUGGUGACAAUAUUGCGCAUCAUUGCUUCGAGGGAAACUCCAAUUUAUAAAAAUAGCUCAGUAAAUGAAUGGUAGUGAGGGUAUGGGGUUCUUAAAGUGUGAAAUUGGUUCCAUUGUAUGAUGUUGUCACUGAUUCUUUAGUGACCAUGAUGUAGGAUUCUUCAAAAUGCCCAGGAUUAUGUUCACUCACAUUCUCUACUUGCCUUUUCCGUUUUAGUAAUUGAUGCGGACAUCCUUUGCUAGGCCGCCUGUUUGGGCCAGUUAUUUAUGUUUUAUGUCUAUUUAUUUAGGUUUUAUAUUUUAUUGGGCUUGUAUAUGGGUUUGGCCCAAAUCCUUAUGCUUUAGGGUUGUUUUCUUUUAUUUAAAGGUUUGUAAUUAAUCUGGAAAAACUCAGUUGAUGAAGAUGAUGAAUUGAAUGAAAAUUAGCAUUGCUUUCUCCCGCCUUCCCCUCUUGUUCUCUUCUCCUCCGGUCUUCUCCCUCCAUUCUCUCCGUUCCUCCCCCCCUUUCUUGCUGCCUAUUUCUUCCUGUCCUUCUAACUGUGGUUAUUUCUUGAUCAGUAUCUUGAUUCUACAUCAACUUGGUAUCAGAGCCAAACUUGGUUUCCCUUCAUCAGAUUGCUACUUAAUUUUGAGUUCUAGACCAUUAUGGAGACCAUACACUUUCUGGAAAUUCUUAAUCUUCUUAAUCUGAAGAAUUUGUUGAAAAGGGGAUCUGGGUUUUUCUUUUUCAGCCAAAGAUUUUAGUUUCAAGCCAAUCACCUGCUUAAUCUAUACCAUCUCACAAUUUUACGGGUUGGAUCACUUUCUCAAAACAGUCUCCCUUCAUCAAAAAAACUUCUGCUGCGUAUGGUUAACCGCUGCCACCAUGAUCUGAAAAUAGUCCCAAAAUCCAUUACUGCUGCUGUAACACCACCCAAUAUCACACCACCCAACCGCCUUGUACAACUGCCAUUGGCCAUUACCAUGCAAUCAUUCCUGACAGUUAAAACCCAUGAACCUUUAGCCCACUCUCCAAUUAUAAAUGUACAAUCCAUGUACCCAAAACCAACAACACAACCAUUCCUCUAACCAACUUCCUCACGUCCCAAUAACCAAACACAAACCCAAUUACUGAGCCCAUGUUAUUUAUCAUACCUGCAACCCAACUUAAUCCCUAAAAUCACCAGGCCCAUUACCGCAGCUAAUCAUCACUUAACCCACUCAAUCUAGUCCAUUACUCGGCCCAAAUUACAACAACAUUCCCACCAGAAAUCGCAAUCUCUUCUGCCGGGUUCCGCCACCGCCGACAACCUCUACUUACCGGCAUCCCACAUAAUCCCACCACCCUGAAAUUACAACAAUCAACCCAAGCCACAUAACUUCCAUUAACCAGGAUGUCUCAAACUCCAAGAUAGUAACUGGUGGAAACUUCGCAAUAAUCGGUAACUUUCCUUUUCACCCAAAAAAAUAAAAUAAAUAAAAAAAACUCUCGACUAUGAGUUCGCAAACGCCAAUCGCCGCCAGACACGCCCACCAGCAGCUUUCACAAUCACAAUCCAAUGUGUCGCCUUCAUCAACCCGUUCUACAUCAAACGCCACCGCCAUUGCUCAAUCUAGCUAACAAAUCGCACCACACUCUGUUCCAAAUCCAAAAAACACCCACGCUACCACGUCAAGUUCCAUCGUCUCCUCCAAUUUCGAGCAACUCACAACGCCCUGAAACAUCUACCUCGCAAUCGUCACCUCCAAUUGUAACCACCACCGCAGCCACACCAACCACCAAUCACCUUCACAACGUCGAAGCCCAUAAUCACUGCAGCCGCUACCUACCGCCGUUCAUCGAUACAGCGACGCUGUCCAUAAUCACCUCAGCCAUCGACACCUCACCUCCACUCGAUCCCCAAUUUGCCAUCACGCAGAUUGGGCUAGAGAGAAAAGUUAGCACUUGAUUUUUAGAUUGGGCUGUGCUUCAGUUAAUAUUAUGGGCAUGGAAUUGUGUGGUAAUUUGAUUUUCAAUUUGGGCUUUACUUUACUAUUUUGGGUCCGAUAUUUUGAUUGACAUUCCCUUGGACGAUUUAGUAGCAUUUUGCCACCGUGAUCGUUCCAACGUGGAAAUCAUGAAUAGGAUAUCAUUUGACAGCAAUAUUUUGUGAUUUAACCACUCGACAGGGUCGAGUUUUCUCCCACCCCGGGAGAGUUGAUGCGGACAUCCUUUGUUAGGCCGUCUAUUUGGGCCAAUUAUUUAUGUUUUAUGUCUAUUUAUUUAGGUUUUAUAUUUUAUUGGGCUUGUAUAUGGGUUGGGCCCAAAUCCUUAUGCUUUAGGGUUGUUUUCUUCUAUUUAAAGGUUUGUAAUUGAUCUGGAAAAACUCAGUUGAUGAAGAUGAUGAAUUGAAUGAAAAUUAGCAUUGUUUUCUCCCGCCUUCCCCUCUUGUUCUCUUCUCCUCCGGUCUUCUCCCUCCAUUCUCUCCAUUCCUCCCCCCUUUCUUGUUGCCUAUUUCUUCCUGUCCUUCUAACUGUGGUUAUUUCUUGAUCAGUAUAUUGAUUCUACAUCAGUAAUAUUGACGAUGUGGACAAGACAAUGGACGAGAUCAAUGAGCAGACCGAAAAUAUGAAACAGAUUCAAGAAGCACUGUCAGCACCAAUUGGUGCAGCGGCUGAUUUUCAUGAAGUAUGCAUUCUCCAAUUUCUGAUAACCUUUUCAUUUGUGAAAGAGGACCAGAAAAGGUCGGGAGUUCUUCCUUUGACAAUAGCAUAUUUCUUUUACUUUCACUGGAUGAAUUAGAGGCAGAACUUGAAGAGCUGGAAGGAGUUGAGUUGGAGGAACAACUUCUGCAACCUGCCACAACCGCCCCUGCUGCUCCAAUUCAAGUGCCCACUGGAAAGCAACCUGUACGUCCAGCUGCUCGCAAGAAUACAGAAGAGGAAGAUGAGCUUGCUGCAUUGCAGGCAGAGAUGGCACUUUAACAAGGUCGUUUUCUAUAUCUCUUGGUGUAAGUGUUUAAAACCAACGUAAUGGGUCAAGGGUUGAACCGGGAUCAAACUGGAGGUCAAGAAUAAGUUUAUACACCCUAAAUUAUUCCUCAGUUGUUGUUUGAUAAAUUAUGUGCUUAUUGCAGCAUUGAGCUCUUAGUGCUGCACUUGCUUGGAAAAUUCUUUUGCGGUUGUCAGUCAUACUUUGAAGAAAUUUUAUGAAGGUGGAGACCAUAUCUUGAGCUGCUGCGACCACCCUAUUCUGUGAAAAACUAAAUUUCUAUAUGUCCAUUUCUAGUACUUGUAUAGAUAAUGUUCGAUUUAAUGUUUGGAAGUAUAAUGUGUGAUAUUGCUUCUUAUCUGUUAUAAUUGAGAUUUUAAUAGAAUCAAAACUUUCACAACUACAUUAAUUGAUGUUAAUAAUGGUUUACCGAUUUCCAACUUGUUCAGUAGGAUUGGUAGGAUUUCAUUAGGUCUAGAAAUGUGUCACCUAAAACAGAUCAACUUCUUCACCAAAUCCUCCCCCCUCUUUCCCAACCACCGCCGCUAAUCUCCAAUGCUUGCAGUACACAACCCAUUGUUGCUGCCUGUGAGUAUUAUAGCCAUGAAAGUUUCUCUUCUCAGUACCCGCGUCUGGAACUGAACCUGAAUGGCAACUGGUUUUUUGGAGAAUCCACCAGAGGUGUUACGAACACGGUGUAUGCCCUGAUCUUGACGAUACUCGGCUGCAGCGUUUCACAGAUAGGCAUUUUUUUUAAAUUUCAAUUAAUCAACAAAGAUAUAAUUAAAUUCCCUUCUCCAUUCUCAGUGAAAUGGCGCAAGGAACCAGAGAAAUCGGAAGGAAUUUCGCCUGUGUGUGCAUAAUGGACAUUCAUGCUUGAAAGUUUUCCUUCGAAUAUUGAUUCCAAGCCAUGAAUUAUUGCUGCAGAAGAGCACGAUCCUGCCAAAAUUUGAUCACGCAACAGGGACAUAUGCAUUGUUAUCACGUUAUCGGAAGUUUCUAUAAUUUGUCAUGAACCCUAAAAAGAAACUUCAAUUAAGUUUCUAAGAAUGUGUACCUGCAACAUAUCAAACUUGGUGAAUGUUUGGAUAAGCUGAUUAAAAAAUUUACUUAUAUAUAAAAUAAGUAAAAACUAAAUAAUAUUUUCUUUGGAAAAAGAAGAGAAAUAUUCGGAAAUAAAUCUUAUCUUGCUAUUAGAAUAAAUAAGUUUUUCAAAUAAGAAAAAAAUAUUUAAGUAAUUGGGAAUGCUUAUAAACAAAAUAUCAACUAACUUUUAGCUUAGCCCAAAUGUUCUGUAGAGAACAAGAAAAAAAUAAAUUGAGAGAAUCCUUUGUAAUAGUUUCUGAGAGAGACAUUUUAUUCGGUUGUGAAUUGGCCACUGACUAGAAAGUAUGAAACAAGAAAUGGUGAUCACACCCUCACUUUCUUGUCCAUCUAAAAAAGAACACAAAAACCACUAGUUAUAACAAUGUGGGGUGCGUCAAAAUUCAAUAUUUACCUCGUCAAUUUCUCCUUUUUCGUCGUUCUGUUUGGAUACUACAUUUUUAGGGACCCAAAAUAUUGAAGUCAUCGAAUAAAUAGAUCAGAAGUAAAUGAAACUAUCACUCCACAAGUAUCUACUGUUUCAAAGUUCCAUGUAAACAUUGAUUAUAAUGUGUUCUAAUUUCUUACGUGCCGUGCCACAUUGAGUAUAUUGAAAAACAUGUAUAGAGGCCAUAAGCAACAAGUAUUUUUUGGUGGGACCGACUAGCCCCAUCCAGGCAUCGGACUUGUCGUGACUCGAGUAGCCCCGACUCAAUUUGACACCACUAUUAAUUUUCAUCUUAAAUAUUCAUGCACAUUGUACACAAAGGCUAAAAUAAAUAAUGUGAAAGUUCAAUUCAUUUGUAUCAAAUGUUUACAUAUAUAUGUUGUAUCAAUAAACAAUCCCUUAUCAUAUCAACUAACAUAUAUAUAUAAAGACAUCUCCUGAUGAUUUCAAUAUAAAUUAGGAACCCCUUCAUUGGCUGCCUCUUGGGACCAAAUUUCAUCCAGAAUUUCAUAAGAACGUCGAUAGCCGAUAUUAUCCAUUGGAAUCCCGUUGCUGCAACUGCCAUUGCCAAAGAUGAAAUCAUUUCCAAGCUGUGAAAAUGUUUCAGAAAUGGUUGAAUCUUGUUGGGAAGAUGAAGAAAAGCUCGGGUUUUUAGUACUCUCAGUUAAACAAGGACUUAUAGGAGAUGUCUCUUGAGCUGAAAAUGUGGGAACCAAUGUGUUAGUGGUUGAAGAUGCGAGGUCGGUUUUCGCUUUCGCAGCGGUGGUGUCGAUACUAUUUGUGGGGUUAUAACCAUAAUUUGCUGCUAUUGGCUUCUUCUUUAACUUGCUGUUCCAGUAGUUUUUCACAUCAUUGUCUGUUCUUCCGGGUGGAUGAGAUGCUAUGACAGACCAUCUAUGAAUUAAACAUUAAUAAAAUGUUAAUAAAUAAAAAAAUCAAGAAGAAAAAAAAUUAUAAUUAACAUUGAACUUUCUUGCUUCCCAAGACACCAUAGAGAGUGUAUAUGAUAUUGUCUUCUUCCGGUGUAAAAGGUUCAUGUAUGAUAUCCGGUCGAAGGUAAUUAAGCCACCGGAGACGACAGCUCUUGCCACAACGAUUAAGACCUGAUUGUUAAGUCGAAGGAUCGUUAAAUCUCAAAAAUGGAUCGCUUUGCAAUAAAAAAUAGAUUUGCAGAAAAUUAAAAAAUCGAACACGAAGAUAUGUUUCGCCCUUAAAAGGGCCCGGAUGUUCGAUCUUGCAACCUAAUCACCCGUUGAACAUCACUAAAAGGUGAUAAAGCUCAAGAUCCACUAAGUAUCCACCAAGAACAGUACACUAUGUACGAAAAGACCAAAGGUUUCUUCCAAUAUUCUUUCGCCUCUAUUCAAAACUGUAAUCCAACUCACUCUCAAUCGCUAACAGAUUAUGCAACACAAUCAAAAACCAUCACUAAGAUUACAGAUUGAGAAAUCACCAAGAACAUAUCGGAUUACAGUAACCCAAGAACCCUAAUCUAUCACUCAGAGAAAAUGAAAUAGAGACGAAAGGUUGAAAAGACUUCGAAUCAUCUAGAAUCGGGGCCAAAACCAAGUAAGUGUCUGAUCAGUCAACCAUCCAAGGGUGAAAGUGAAGCCACGUGUACAGUUGAACCUCAACCAUUUAAGAGGCAAAGGCGUGUUUCUUUAAAACACGAUUUACAACCCGAACUUAAUUCUAAACAGACCAAGCCCACAAGUCUCAAUCUGGGCCAACAAGAAAUGGUGAGGCAACCUAACUAAUAUAACAAUCUCCACCUUACUGAACUAUUUCUUAGUCUCUACUAGUGAAUCUAGAGCUAUAGCAACUGUUGGCUCAUUUGCUCUAAAUACCUGCAAAAAACAAAAUAAACACAUUAGUUUAAAUCUUUCCAAUGCUAAACACUUUGAAGUUCUGAUUUUUACAAUCUCAAGUAAUAUUCAGAAUCUUCAAGCAAUUUUGAAAUUUACUCAAAGGUAAUACCUAAGUUCCAAAAUCUGAAGGGUUAAAUUCUAUAGGAAUUUUGACCAGACUUAUCAAACCUUUUUCUACCAUGUUCCUCACAAAGUGAAAUUUUAUAUCUAUAUGUUUAGUUCUGUCAUGGUAGACAGGAUUUUUACUCAAAUGUAUGGCACUUUGGUUGUCUGUAUAAAUCCUAACAAUAUUAUUUUCAAAACCUAUUUCAUUUAACAAACCCCUAAGCUAAAGACUUUCUUUUACUGCAUCACAAGCAGCAAUAUAUUCAGCUUCUGUAGAGGAAAGAGCAACUAAUUUUUGCAGUUGUGAUUUCCAACUAAUGCAGCCAUCACACAAAGUGAAAACAUAUGAAGAUGUUGACCUUCUUUUAUCUAAAUCACCAGCAAAAUCAGAAUCAGUGUAGCCCUUUAACUUUACCCCUUCAUUGCUUCUUUUAAACAUUAAACCUAAAUUAGAGUUUCUUUUUAAGUCUCUUAGCAUCCACUUCAUGGAUAACCAGUGUGUUUCACCUGGAUUUGACAUAAACCUACUCAAGGUACUAAUGCCAUGAGAUAAGUCAGGUCUGGUACAGACCAUUAGGUACAUUAUUGAUCCUACAACAUUUGCAUAAGGAAUCUUUUCCAUUCUUAUAAAUUCAUGAUCUGUUUUAGGUGAACUUUCACUUGACAGUUUAAAGUGAUUAGCAAUGGGUAAGGUUACAUGUUUACACUCAAACAUUGAAAACUUUUCAAGCAUUUUCUUCACAUAUAUGCCUUGUUUCAAUAUUAACAUGCAAUUAUUUCUAUCUCUUUCUAUUUCCAUUCCAAGAAUCCUUUUUGCUUGUCCUAGGUCUUUCAUUUCAAAUUCAGAUUUUAAUUUUGAUUUAAUGAAGUUAAUUUCAGAUCUAUAAUGGCAAGCAAGCAACAUGUCAUCAAUAUAUAAUAACAGAUAAAUGGAUUCAGGUCCACCUGAAUCUUUAUAGAAAAAGCAGGAAUCAUAAUUGCUUUUGACAAAACCCAAAGUCUACACAUAGGAGUUAAAUUUGAUAUACCAUUGCCUGGGAGCUUGUUUUAGUCCAUAGAGGGACUUCUUCAACAAACAAACCUUAUUGAUCUUAGACUUUAUUUCAACCCUUGGAGGUUGACUCAUGUAUAUGGUUUCAUCAAGAUCCCCAUUGAGGAAUGCUGUUUUGACAUCUAGUUGAUCUAAUUCCCAAUCAAAAUGAGCAAUUAGUGCCAACACUAUUCUUAUAGAGGUAUAUUUUACCACUGGGGAAUAGAUUUCAUUGUAAUCCACCCCCUCCUUUUGAGUAAAACCCUUGGCCACUAAUCUGGCCUUGUAUCUUUUAUCUUGUGAGUUAGAGUCCCCUUGUUUAAUUUUAAAAAUCCAGUUGCAGUCAAUUAUUUUUUGGUUUUUAGGCCUAUCAACCAAAGCCCAAGUUUUAUUUUUGAUGAGAGAGUUCAUUUGGCCUCUUUCCAGAACUUAGAAUCUGGACAUUUAUUUGCUUCAUCAAAUGAAGUAGGUUCAGAAUUUAAUAAGUCCAGACCAGAGAAAAAGGUGACAAAUUCUUCAUUAUUAAAUCUGAUUGGAGGUCUUAUAUUUCUCCUUUCUCUAUCCCUAGUUAACUGAUAAUCAGCAAGUGUAGGAUUUGAAGACUCCACCUCAAUUUCAGUUUCAUUUUGAUUAGGGUUUUACUCAGACUGAGAGGUCUCCACCUCAAUUAGACCAUCUAGAUUUUCAAAUUCAUCAGUUUUGUUUUCCAUGAUGAUUUCUUUCAAUAGUGCAGGUUCUGAAGUUUUAAGAUUAGUUGAUUUCACACAAGGCAUGUCAUUUUCAUUGAAGAUGACAUUUCUACUGAUAAUGACCUUAAAGCCAUUUUGGUCUCUAACCCACAGUUUGUACCCUUUUGUUUCCUCUCCAUAACCCAGAAAAACACAAUCUAAGGACCUGGGUUCUAGUUUCCCUUCACUCUGAUGUGAAUAGGCAGUACAACCAAAAACUUUCAGUUUACUAUAAUCAAGAGUUUUUCCUGACCAUAUCUUUUCAGGAACUUGAAAAUCAAUGGCGCUUGAUAGACUUCUAUUUAUUAGAUAAGUUUCUAUUUUUAGGGCCUCUCCCCAAAAGAACUUAAGGAGACCAGAACUAUAGAGCAUAUGUUCGCGAAAUUAUUUUCUUUCGAUUUAAAACCACCGCAAGUAUACGGUUCGUUAACAAGUAAUAAAGUGGAUUCAAUGAAUUCGAAUAUCGUCCCACAGAGAUUGAUUAGUUCAAAUUUUAUCUACCUUAGCCUUAACCGAAACUAAAUUACCAAAGUGAAUGUAAACCUAAUUGAACCUCAAUUAUGCAAUUUUUUUUUGAUUAAAUUGAAAUUAAUAUGCAAAACAAUAAAUUAAACUCGAGAAUGAAAUCUAAAAGUUGAGAACGCACUUGUUAUAAUUAUUAGGAAUGAAAUACACUAGGAUCACGAAUUCCCAUGCAAUUAUCACUUUAAAUCCUAGUUUCACAAUAUGACAACACAUUUCGAUUUUGACGAAUCAAUGUUCCUAAAUCUAUCCAAUACUCUCUCUCGAGAUGUAUCAAACCUAUCUCUACAUACCACCGGUCUAUAUUUCUAUGACAAGAGCAUAUGUAAAAAUGCAUGCAAUUUUAUGAACAUUUAAAGAUUCACAUAGAGCAUAGCAGUAUAUUUCUAUCCACUAUCGGACCCUACGAUGAUUUAUACUAUGUCAAAUCUAUUCCAAUUCUCUUGAAUGCAAGAAUAAAUCACUUAAAUUCACACAAUUACGAGCCCUUAAUUGCGGAAACAUUUAAUUGCAUAUAAAUCAUUCAACAUAAUAGAAAUUAUGUCUUACAUCAAAUUGCAAAACUAGAAUAUUAAAAUUCAAAUCACAUGGUUCAUCGAUCUCCUAGCAUAAAUAGAAUCUAGCCUAGCAUGCUCAAAAUAACAAAAUACAUCAAAGUUUGUAUAUAAGACAUCACCGGGUUAUAAAAUUUGAAUAAAUCUUGAAGUUUUUCGUGUCAAUCUUUGUUCUUGCGCUCAAAUCCUCUUCAAGAAUUGUUUUUUGGCCUCCAAUUACGUUCUGAGCGUUUCUGGAAUGUUUUUGAUAUUUAUAUCCCGUGGAAAAUUAGGUUAACAUAGGUAUUUCAAUCGUAUGAGGAAAGAAAAUUUUCGUGCUGAAUUUGUACCAUGCGACCGCAUGGUUAUCCUCUUUUUUCAUUCUUAAUCCUUACAUCACUUCGUGUGGCCACACGACGUUUCUACCAUACGACCGCAUGGUAGAAUUGAUCUUUCAGUUCCUACAAUUUGGUCCCUUCACUUUAAUCUUCCACUUUUUUACAUCUUUUCUUCAUUUUUCACAUUCCAUCAUCCCAAAAUGUCAUCAAUUCGUAUUUGACAAACUCAAUUUCUUAAUUUGCUCAUCGGGUCAACUUUUGAGUAAUUGCACCUAGGUCCUUGAACUUUCACUUUGUGUCAUUUUAGUCCUUUUUUGCGUCUUUUCUCAUGUAUUUCACCAUGUCCAUCGGUGUUACCUACAAUUCACAAAUGUAAUGAAAUUAAGUCACAAUUCAGUCAUUUUAUUCGUAAUUAAGUCAUGUUUGUGACCUAAAUAAGUGUGCAAAAACACACUUAUCAAACACUCCAAACUUGAACUAUUGUUUGUCCUCAAACAAGAUAGUGACUAAAUUCUGAACAAACAUGGCUUAAUACCCUGCUACGGCUCAGGAUUGGACUAAGUGUUCGAUUUGAUGAAGAUAUAUCAGUGCAAAAAGAUUAAUGGCAUCAACCUUCGCCUGUUAAAUGCGCACUUGACGUGUGUGUGUGAGUUCAUGCCAACAUAUUAGAUUCAUGAUGGGUUUGAGUCCCGACCCCAAGUGGUCAAAUGUAUCCUUACUCGCUCGAGAGAUACACAACCCCCCAAACUUAUUAUUUUCACUCAAUUAUCUCGGGGUUGUGUUUUAAAAUUAGGAGUUUACAUAACUGUAGUCCUCACCCUCUCGUAGUUUGGAUUAAUCUCACUAUCACAAGUUUACAAUUCAACAAGUGAAGGCUCUCCUAAAUUUGAUUGCUUCGACACUCAAGAUUAAACUAGGUUACUUGUCUCGCCUCAAAGGUAUAUUUUCUUCAACCAAAUGUCCAAGGGUUUUUCUUCAUGUUAUUGUCUCUCUUUUGUUUUUCUCACUUUUCUCUAAUUUUUCUGAUUUUUUUUUGUUACCAUCUUCUCAUUUGCUUUCUAUAUAACCCAUGUAACGAGUUUUAGACCGGUGACUCCCAAAUCAGUUGGCUUUAGGGCACCAGGUUUUAAACAUUUGCAGGCUUAUUCACUCGAGUUAUAAAGGCUCGAUUAGAUGACUUUCAAUUAACCUCUUUCCCUCUUGCUUUCUAUAUGACUCUUUUAGCGAGCAUUAAGUCGAUGACUCCUAAACCAGUUGACUUUAGGGCACCAGAUUUUGAAGUAUCCUUACAGGCUUAUUUGCUCGAGUCAUAAAGGCAUGAAAAGAAGUGUAUUGUUUUCACAAAUUUAUUUUAUGCCCUUAUUGUUCUAGAUAUUUAGUUUCCAAAACUAACCUCUAAUUUAAGAUUUUCAUCUAAUCUUCACCCCACUGGUCUAGGCAAUCCACACAAUAGAAUUUAUGCACGGAGCCUCCACUCAUCUCAAUACUCCCUUACAAUAGCUCAACCAUCAUCAAAUUAUCUUAAAGCAGUUUACGGUUUAAUUCAAUAGAGGGUUAUCAUUCUUUUUCUAUUUUAUGCUCAAAAUCCGAUCAUUUAUCUAAUAUGUCAAGCAUGAAUAGUGUGCACAAAUAAUGUAAAGUUUUGCAUCAACAAGUGUCAGAUAACCUAAUUGCAUUAGAUCCAAAGAUUUUGCAGUUUAACCUAGUCCAAUUUUAACAUCAUAGCUAGCAAGGUUAUCAAACCCACACAAGCAUGCAUAAGAAGAGUUAAAACAAAAAUGAAUAAAAUGAUUUUUUUUUUGUUUUUCAUGCACACAUACCGAUAAACACAGAUAAUACAGAUACUUAGUUAAAAUUAUGUCACCUCCCCAAACUUUGUUACUAAAUUGUCCUCAAUGUAAAAUUAACAAAAGAUGAAAGACAGAAUUUCACGGACUACAUAAAAAUGAAAAUCCAAAAUGUGGUAAAUAGUACUUCCCUUGAAUCAAAACAGAUGAGGUGGUGGGAAACUGGGUCCUGUUGUACCAUCAUUCGACGGAGGGGGUGUCGUCCAAGGAGUUGCCGCAUCAUCUCAUUCAUUUCCCGCAUCAAGGUAGACUGCUGCAUCUGGUCGGCCUGGAUAGCUCUCAUGGUCUCCCAAGUUUCAUUUACCCUCAUCUGGAUAACGUCCACCCAACCAACAUACAUGUUCAUCCGGCCAUUCAUGGUGUCAACCUCCCGUCGCAUGACAGUAGCAUGAUCCCUAGCAUCUCUGAUGUAGUUCAAUGCAAGGUGAUUGUCCCUUUGUAAGCUUCCUAAUUCAGUCCUCAUGUUGCUAAAAUCUUGAAAGAAACUGUGAAGGUCCCGGCUAAUGCCCGUGGUGGUGGAGAAAAUCUGUCUCAGCAACUGAUUAUCCAUUUCAGCUAGUGGUGCUGGAGCCCGUGGGUGGUCCUGAUCUUUAGGGAUUUGACCUUGUUCUGCCUACUGCCUACGUCGCUCAUUUUCCUGCUCUUCCCUGUGCUUAACUCGAGCCCUUGUCUGAGCGUCAAAUGUAGUUCUUUUGAUCAUUGGGCUGGGUUUUUUCAGGUAACUCCUCAGAUAAGAGAGCAACACCCGCAGCCCGACAUAUACCACUAAUGAGGCUUGGAAAUAUCAAAGUGGAGCGUCGAUCCCUCCAAGUCUCCAAUGAGUGCAGUUGAUUGUAUAUAUGAGUAGCGAGAUCAAUUUUGUUACCUCGAGCCAAGUGGUAAAUGAAACCUGCUGUCUGAUCUGGGAAUGUAGUCCUGUGUGAUAUCGGCUCAACAUUGUGGCACAUAAAGAGCCAUAGAAUGGCCAUGGAAGGAGUAAGUUCAAUCUGAUGCCACUCGGUAGUGUCAAGGGGCCAUGCAUUCUCUCGCCCCAUUAAAACCUCAGCCACCUCAUUCCAGUUAAAGUCAAUUGGGAGGGGGACCACAUUCUCUAUGGUAAGCUGGUAGUAAUCAUGAAUGACCUCAGGAGAGAACAUAAUCCAUUUCCCCCGCACCCAAGUCUGAUGGAAAUGGUCGGAGCCUGGCGUGUCAAUGUCACUGUUGAAGUUAGCGAAGAACUCUAGGCAUAAGAUCUCAUAGAGUGGAUGCGGUCUCUCUAUUAACUUUUGCCAUCCACAGAGCUUAAUUAAAUUGACCAACUCAAAGCCUGGGAAGUCAUCAAGCUUAACAGGUCUUUCAGCAUGCAGUCCAAUGGUGUACGAUGUUUUCAUAUUGUGCCGCGGUGAUUUCAGUUAGGAAUCGCUGAACUUCGCCUGCGAGCUCUCGAGUACGGGCUGUUCCUGUGGAUGAGCUUGCCUUUUCCUUCCCGCGCACAGUUCUUUUUAGAGGCAUCCUGCAAAGUUUGUAGAAAUAUACUCAUUAAGUCGAAUUGAAAAGCAUAGGCAAGAAAUGAGAGAAAUUUAAUAAGCGAAUAAGCAUUGAACAAAUUUCCCAAACUUUCCUAGAUGCAUGCGUAGUAAUAUGGUGUGCACUUGGCAAGCUAUGAUGUUUAGUUGAAUUCACGUAGGUUUCCAAUAAGAAAAAUGGCGAAAACUCGGUGUAUCUAAACGACAUUUCAGAAUUUGGAACCAUGACCGAGUGCCCACUUUCGGCCCUUGACAUCAUUGAAAAUUAUCAAAUUUUUUUCGGAAAAUCUCCAGGCAUAUCAAAGUAUUCAUUGAAGUGUAACACACACUCGAAUUUCAAAUCAAUUGGAGGUUGUUUGGUGUGUCAAAUGAAAAUGCAAAAUAGGGGACGGAGGUUGCCGUGAUGUGCGGUGACCUAGUCAUGUGCCUAUGUGGUGCAAUGUGAAAGUGGGUGUUAUCUAGUUCAAAUUAAUCAGGAAUCCGUUGAAAUACAUCGAAUGCCAUGUUGGUGAAACAAUGUAUAUGCAAAAGGUAUUUAAUUUCACACACAAGGAUAUUGUGACAUUUAAGCAAACACUUGGUGUGCAUUAUGUGAAGAUGCUACCAAUGUAAAGAAUUGAAUGUAGGAAUCAUUCCAAAGUUUCCACAACACAAUCACAUCAAAUCCAAACACACAUGAACUAGCCUAAUCUCCCUCAAAUCGCCAAAAUUAAAAUUUCAAUCAUGAAAACCCGAAAACGGAAUUGAGAGGGAUGUAAGAAUACAUACCUUGUAUUUGUAGGGUUGAAUUGAGGUCAAAAGUUGAUUUCCUUUCGAUGUUAUUACAAUGCAAUGAUGAGAUUAGUGUGUAGAAUAUGUUAUGCUAGCCCAAAAUCGUGCCCUAGGUAAGUGUGUUCGGGAGAGAGUUUGGGGAAUAAAAGAUAUGAAAAUGAAAGGAAAAAACCGGGCGUGGGUUAAAAACCCACGCCUUAUUAUUGCCAUGCGGCCGCAUAGCUUUAGCCCCUGCGGUCGCACGCCUUAUUAUUGCCAUGCGACCGCAUGGUUUUAGUGGCUUUGGCCACUUAAUUCUCGGAUGGUAUAUGUGCGGUCGCACUGGAAUUUUUUUUUUCAACAUAAUAGAAAUUAAUAGUGAGAAUAAAAUAAAAUAAAGUGAUAUCCCCAAAAGCCCGACUUUUGACUAAAAUUAUGGUAUUCACUUGAAGAGUUUACCCGACUCUUAACAUCCCCAAUUUUCUUCAAAAACGUACUUCUAAACAUUCUGCGACGUGUAUGGGUCAGAAAAUUGGUACCCAAAAAUUGAUUUAUAUAUAAAUUUUUUUUUAAGUCAACAUUGACAUGUGAAAUUUAGAAAAAUUUACCAAGAAAUGCGUGAAUUUCACACCGAAUAUCCCAAACUACUCCAAUCAACCCGACUCGUGUGUACAGUGCUUGGACCCUUUUAACAUGUAUGGACGAUCGAUGACCACAUAAAGAAAAUGCAAAAUGAAAUUGACACAAAAAUAAUUUCUAAUCUAAGUGCAGAGAGCUUAAUAAAUUAAACGAAAAAGGAUACAGUGGGUUGCCUCCCACCCAGCGUUAGGUUAUAGUCGAUAGCUCGAAUUUUCUGUAGCUGCUUCAUUCUGGCAUCUCAAGUUGAACGGUGGACUUUUGGUUGGAGAAGUCACCGCUCGAGUAGUGUUUCAGUCUUUGCCCAUUAACAGUGAAGGUACCCUUAGUCUCGUGGCUCACUUGUAUAGCCCCAUAUGGUAGAACUUUCGUGACAGUAUAAGGACCCCACCACCUUGAUCUUAGUUUUCCUGGGAAAAGCUUGAGUCUCGAGUUAUACAAUAGCACUUUCUGCCCCACUUCAAACUCUCGCCUCUGAAUAUGCAUAUCGUGUCAUUUCUUUGUUCGUUCCUUGUAAAAUUUUGAAUUUUUAUACCUUCCAUUCUAAACUCAUCUAACUCAUUAAGUUGCAGCAGGCGUUUUUCACCGGCGGCGCUCAAGUCCAUAUUCAACUGUUUCAUCGCCCAGUAUGCCCGUGCUCCAUUUCUAGUGGCAGAUGGCACGCUUUCCCAAAGAUUAGGCGGUAUGGAGACAUGCCUAUCGGGGUCUUGAAUGCUAUUCUGUAAGCCCAUAAUGCAUCGUCUAGCUUUUUAGACCAAUCCUUUCUAGAUGAAUUCACAGUGACUUCUAGUAUUCUCUUCAACUGCCGAUUAGAUACCUCAACUUGCCCGCUGGUUUGUGGAUGAUAUGGAGUAGCAACGUGGUGUUUAACGCCAUAUUUAUUCAGCAACUGCUCAAACUGGCGAUUACAGAAAUGCUUGCCCCCAUCUCUGAUUAUAGCCCGCGGUGUAUCAUAUCGGGUGAAAAUGUAUUUCUUCAAGAAUUCAAUUACUGCCUUUGAGUCAUUUGUUGGCAAUGCAACUGCUUCCACCCAUUUUGAUACGUAAUCCACUGCUACCAAGAUAUACCGAUUUGAGAAUGAAGGGGGGAAAUGUCCCAUGAAGUCAAUUCCCCAAACAUCAAAUAUCUCCACUUCCAAAAUGUUGCUCAGUGGCAUUUCAUUCCUCCUCGAGAUAUUCCCAGUGCGUUGACAUCGGUCACACCUCUUAACAAACUCAAAUGUGUCUCUAAACAGUGUAGGCCAGUAGAAACCUGAUUGUAGAAUCUUUGCAGCUGUUUUUGAAGCCCUAAAGUGCCCUGCGUAAGCAGACGAAUGGCAGUGCUCGAGAAUCUCAUGUACUUCUUCCUCAGGUAUGCAUCUCCUUACUAUCUGAUCAGCCCCCCGCCUAUAGAGAAUUGGGUCCUCCCAAAAAUAAUACUUCAAUUCGGCGAAGAACUUUUUCCUUUGGUGACUCGAGUAGUCUGAUGGUGGGAUGGAACUGGCCAAGUAAUUGACGAUAUCUGCAUACCAAGGUGCUUCAUCUACUCUCAACGUUUGCUCAUCUGGGAAGAUCUCAUUGAUGUCCACUAAUUCAUCUGUCCCCCCAGGCUCCAAUCGGGAUAGGUGAUCCGCUACUACAUUCUCACUGCCCUUCUUGUCUCGUAUCUCGAUAUCGAAUUCUUGCAGCAAUAGCACCCAACGAAUCAACCUAGACUUUGCAUCAUUCUUUGUGAGUAGAUACUUUAAUGCAGCAUGAUCUGUGUAAACUAUAACUUUGGACCCGACAAGAUAUGACCUGAAUUUGUCGAAUGCAUAUACUAUAGCCAAUAGCUCCUUUUCAGUGGUGGCAUAGUUGAUUUGCGCUUCAUUAAGAGUCCUACUUGCAUAGUAAAUUACGUGAAAGAUUUUUUUUCUCCGUUGUCCUAAUACUGCACCCACGGCGUGAUCACCUGCAUCACACAUCAAUUCAAAAGGGAGUUCCCAGUCUGGUGCCUCAAUUAUUGGUGAUGUCGUAAGCUUCUCCUUUAAAGUGUUGAAUGCUGUGAGGCAUUCUUCAUUAAACUCAAAGGUGACGUCUUUCAUUAGCAGAUUGCAUAACGGUUUAGUGAUCUUCGAGAAAUCUUUUAUAAAUCUCCUGUAGAAACCCGUAUGUCCCAAGAAACUACGAACUCCUUUAACUGAUGUAGGUGGUGGUAACUUCUCAAUAACUUGAAUUUUUGCCUUGUCCACAUCAAUUCCUUUUGAUGAGAUUCGAUGCCCGAGUACAAUGCCUUCUUGCACCAUAAAGUGGCAUUUCUCCCAAUUUAAAACUAGGUUAGUCUCCUUGCAUCUCUGUAAGACCAAAUUCAGGUGCUCUAAACAUUCAUCGAAUGAAGAUCCAAACACUGAGAAGUCAUCCAUGAAAACUUCAAUAAACCUUUCAAUCAUAUCGGAGAAUAUUGCCAUCAUACACCUCUGAAAUGUGGCUGGGGAGUUACAAAGACCAAAAGGCAUCCUACAAUAAGCAAAAGUACCAUAGGGACAGGUGAAAGUGGUCUUCUCCUGAUCUUCUGGUGCGACAGGUAUCUGAUUAUAGCCCGAGUAUCCAUCCAGGAAACAGUAAUGUGAAUGUCCAGCCAAUCUUUCUAACAUCUGAUCGAUGAAUGGGAGGGAAAAAUGUUCCUUUCGUGUGGUUGCAUUGAGCUUGCGAUAGUCGAUGCAAACUCUCCAUCCCGUAACUGUUCUGGUGGGAAUUAAUUCAUUCUUCUCGUUUUUCACCACUGUGAUUCCCCCUUUUUUCGGUACCACUUGAACUGAGCUAAUCCAUGCACUAUCUGAAAUUGGGUAAAUAAUUCCUGCAUCCAGUAAUUUCAAUAUCUCUGCGCUGACCACUUCCUUCAUGUUCGAAUUUAAUCUUCUCUGACCCUCUAUACUUGGCUUGCAAUUUUCCUCCAUUAGAAUCUUAUGCAUGCACAGAGAAGGGCUAAUUCCUUUAAUGUCAGCUAUUGUCCACCCAAUCGCCGUCUUGUUCUCUCUGAGUACCAUGGCAGUUUUUCUUCCUCCACCUCACUGAGUGUAUUCGAAAUGAUUGUUGGAAGUAUAUCUGACUCCCCCAAAUAUGCAUAUCUGAGAUGUGGUGGUAAUUGCCUGAGUUCCAAAACUGGUGGCUGCUGAACAAAAGGUAGUGGCUUUGUGUUUCCCGUCCCCAGUUCCUCGAAGUGCCUCUUUCGGGUGUAUGGCGGGUUGGUCUCCAAAAAUCUUGCACAUGUUUCAACUUCAAAAGACUCUGACUGGACUGAUUGGGAUUGUGUAAUACAUGUCUCAUAGGCAUCAGAUGGACCGUGUAGUAAGAAUGUUUCUUGUACUGCCUUGUCAAUAACGUCAACUUGAUAACAGUUGUCAGAUUCUGCUGGUAGUUUCAUUGCCUUGAAUACAUUGAAUGAUAUAUGCUCCUCUCCCAAUCUUAAAAUCAACUGACCUCUUUGAACAUCAAUUAACGCUCUCCCUGUUGCCAGAAAUGGUCUGCCAAGUAUCAAUGGGACGUCCUUGUCCUCUUCCAUGUCCAGGAUAAGAAAAUUCGCUGGGAAUAUGAACUUCUCAACCUUGAUAAGCACAUCUUCAAUUAUUCCUCUGGGAUGUGUAAGUGACCUGUCAGCCAGCUGAAGUGUCACAGUGGUUGCUUUAGCUUCUCCCAAAUCGAGUUUCCUGAAAACAGACAAAGGCAUUAAAUUAAUACUUGCACCGAGGUCACAUAAUGCUUUAUCAAAAUAUACUUCACCGAUUGUGCAAGGAACAGUAAAACUCCCUGGAUCUUUUAGUUUUGGUGGAAGCUUCUUCUGGAUUCUGGCACUACAUUCCUCCGUAAGCAUAACUGUCUCAUAAUCUUCCAGCUUGCGUUUAUUUGAUAUGAUAUCCUUCAGAAAUUUCGCGUAGCUAGGCAUCUGGAACAGUGCAUCAGCUAGUGGGAUGUUGAUAUGGAGCUUUUUGAAGAUUUCUAGAAAAAAAUUUUAUUGUUGCUCCACUUUUUGCUUUUUCAAGCGCUGUGGAAAGGGAAUCGGAGGCUCGUAGGGGUUGACUGUGACUUUGGCCUUAUCCUGUGAUUCUUCUGAAUUUUCCUUUGAACUUGAUUCCUUUACAACAGUCUCUUCUUCAGCGGAGGAAGAUGUUUCUCCAAUCACACCCGAUCUCUUGACAUGGAUUUCAGGUAAUUGCAUCCCACUUCAAGUUGUAAUGGCCUUGGCUUGCUCUUUAGGAUUGAUUUCUGUAUUACUUGGUAAGUUACCUGGUGUUCUGCCAAUCAAUGCGAUGGCUAGCUGCCCCAUCUGAGCUUCCAAAUUUUUGAUGGCUGCAUUUUGAUUUUGAAGUGUAGCUUCGGCCUUCUCCAUGAAUUUUCCUAUCAUAUCUUCCAAUUGAGGCCUCUUCUCUUGUUGUUGAAAUUUUCCCCGUGGCUUAUUCUGAUUCUGGUUGCUCCAAGAGAAGUUGGGAUGCUUCUUCCAGCUGGGAUUGAAAGUCUCUCCAUAUUGAUUAUGUUGUUGGCAUUGUCCCCACUGUGUGUAAUCCGCUUGCUCAAUUCCUUGCAUAAGUAUUGGGCAAUCUGAUGUUUUGUGCUUGGCUCCACAUUCCUCACAAUUGCUCUUCUUAGCUUGUGAUGCUUGUGAUAUGCUUUCCACCUUGUGAUACAGAGAGUCAAUUUUUGCAGAUAUUGCUGAAUAAGCGUCCACCUCGUAGACACCUGGAGUUUUCUUUGGGAUCGCCCUCUUAGAAGACCAUAUGGCUGAUGUGGUAGCCAUUCGCUCAAAUAAUUCCAAUGCCCCAUCAACUGUUCUUGUGGAUAUUGUUAGGACCUUCCUCUUGCAGCUCACGGUGAUUUCUGGGCUCAGUUAACCAUUAAACAUCUAAUUCAACAUCAAAACCAAAGUCCCCAACUCGUCGGCGCUACCCUCUCCUAUGGUUGCUUUCUUCUCUUGCUUGGUUGAUUCAAUCCACACACUUAGGAUGGAUACCACUCAGGUAAGGUUCACAAAGACUCAAGCAAUUUGGGUGGAGAAGAAAUCACGAAGAAGAUGAAGGCAGAAGACACGGCUGGACACGACAGUUUCUCUUUUCUCACGGCUUCAACUUUUGGACGGGACCAACAAGGAUGAAAACACCAAUAUAUAUAGUAAGUCAAGUGGCCAACAUAAGGUAAGUAAGGAUAUGGUAAGUAGGCUCGAUUAGGGUUAACUUCCAAUGGAAAGAAUCAACAAGCCACAAAGAGUAUUAGCCGUCCAAUAGGUAAGGCAACGUUUGGUCGGUUCAUCCAUUAUUCGAUGUUGAAUUAUCGUUCAGUCAUUUAUGUCGACUGAUAAAAUUGGUUCUCAUCAUCGUCCGGGAGGUCGUUUGACAACAUAAUGUCUAACAACCUCCACCUUGGUGUCAAAGGGCCUGCAAAGAAAAACGUUUUUCCAUUAGUGACACCUCUAACAGAAAAACCGAUAAAAUUGAAAUCAUUUACCUGUACCGAUGUUUAGAAGCUCUUUGCAACUUCUAAACUUUACCAGUGGCAGCACUUUCGUGCCCAUAUCUGAAGGAUUGUACUGUGUGUGAAUUUUUUCAAGUCUUACUACUUCUUGUGAUAUUAUAUCCCUAAUGAAGUGUAACCUAACAUCGAUAUGUUUAGUGCGUUCGUGAAAGACAGGAUUNNNNNNNNNNNNNNNNNNNNNNNNNNNNNNNNNNNNNNNNNNNNNNNNNNNNNNNNNNNNNNNNNNNNNNNNNNNNNNNNNNNNNNNNNNNNNNNNNNNNNNNNNNNNNNNNNNNNNNNNNNNNNNNNNNNNNNNNNNNNNNNNNNNNNNNNNNNNNNNNNNNNNNNNNNNNNNNNNNNNNNNNNNNNNNNNNNNNNNNNNNNNNNNNNNNNNNNNNNNNNNNNNNNNNNNNNNNNNNNNNNNNNNNNNNNNNNNNNNNNNNNNNNNNNNNNNNNNNNNNNNNNNNNNNNNNNNNNNNNNNNNNNNNNNNNNNNNNNNNNNNNNNNNNNNNNNNNNNNNNNNNNNNNNNNNNNNNNNNNNNNNNNNNNNNNNNNNNNNNNNNNNNNNNNNNNNNNNNNNNNNNNNNNNNNNNNNNNNNNNNNNNNNNNNNNNNNNNNNNNNNNNNNNNNNNNNNNNNNNNNNNNNNNNNNNNNNNNNNNNNNNNNNNNNNNNNNNNNNNNNNNNNNNNNNNNNNNNNNNNNNNNNNNNNNNNNNNNNNNNNNNNNNNNNNNNNNNNNNNNNNNNNNNNNNNNNNNNNNNNNNNNNNNNNNNNNNNNNNNNNNNNNNNNNNNNNNNNNNNNNNNNNNNNNNNNNNNNNNNNNNNNNNNNNNNNNNNNNNNNNNNNNNNNNNNNNNNNNNNNNNNNNNNNNNNNNNNNNNNNNNNNNNNNNNNNNNNNNNNNNNNNNNNNNNNNNNNNNNNNNNNNNNNNNNNNNNNNNNNNNNNNNNNNNNNNNNNNNNNNNNNNNNNNNNNNNNNNNNNNNNNNNUUUGCUACUAACCUAGCCUUAAACCUUAAGGGUUCUGAACUACUAGUACCUUUUUUAACCUUAAAGAUCCACUUGCAAUCAACGAUUGAUUUAUUCUUAGGUCUCGGUACUAACUCCCAAGUUUGAUUCUUUUCUAGAGAACUCAUCUCUUCUUUCAUAGCCUCAAGCCACUCCUUAGAUUGACCACUGUUCAUAGCCUCUUCAAACGUUUCUGGCUCCCUAUCAACUAGUUCUUCGUAACUAGCGUAUGCAAAAUCCAAUUCAGAUUCAUAUCCGAAUCUCCUAGGUUCUCUCGUUUGUCUUCUCUCUCUAUCUCUAGCUAAGUUAUAGUUAGCUAGUGGAUUUUCUUCUUCAGGAUGCUCUUCUAUCACUACUUCAUUUUCCUCUUCAGGUUCUUGGACCUGAAUCUCCACCUCACUCGAAGUACUAGGUACUGAUGUGUUAAAUUUUCCUAACUCCACCUUAAACCGACUUCUUUCUUCACUUGAUUCAGUUUCACUUAUUGGUUCGGUUUCGUUCUUUAGACAAGGCAUCUCUUUCUCAUUAAAUGUGACAUCCCUACACACGAUGAUCUUAACUCCUUUUUGGCUUCUAUCCCAUAGCCUAUAUCCCUUAACCCCUUCGGGAUACCCUAGAAAGACACACUUCCUGGCUCUUGGUUCUAACUUUCCCUCACUUUGAUGAGAAAAAGCAUCACAGCCAAACGCUUUAAGUAUCGAGUAGUCACCCAAUCCUCACUUUGAUGAGAGAAAGCAGCACAGCCAAACGCUUUAAGCAUCGAGUAGUCACCCAAUUUUCCAGACCAUUUCUCAUGUGGAGUAUCACCAUUUAAUGCAGCUGAUGGAGUCAAAUUUAUUAGAUAACAGGCAGUGACAACGGCUUCACCCCAAAAUGACUUAGGAACCCCAAAACUUAACAUCAUGCAGCGCACUUUGUCUAGUAUGGUCCUAUUCAUUCUUUCUGCCACCCCGUUUUGUUGGGGAGUAUAAGGGACCGUUUUGUGCCUUGUUAUUCCACUUUCUUUACACAUCCUAUCGAAUUCAGUAUUACAGAAUUCUAGGCCGUUAUCUGUCCUUAAAAAUUUGAUCCUCUUGCUAGUUUGGUUUUCCAUUUGUUUCUUCCAAUUGUUAAAGUUAUGGAAGGUUUCAGUUUUGUCCUUCAAUAGAUAGACCCAUACUUUUCUGGUGUAGUCAUCUAUGAUAGAUAGGAAAUACCUAUUCCCACCCGAUGUGGGAUUACUAGCAGGAGCCCACAGAUCAGAAUGCACAUAUUCAAGUAUGCUUUUAGCCUUAUGCGUACUGGUGGAAAACGACACUCUAUGGUGCUUUCCAAGCACACAGUGAUCACAGAACGAUAGGUCAGACACACAGUCAUUACCAAAUGCACCUUUUUCAUUAAGUAGUUUAAGUCCUUUAAUGCUUACGUGUGCAAGCCUACUAUGCCACGUGUCUGUGUGAUCGAUUUUGGCGGAAGAAAUAGAGGAGUUUGAUCCUCUAAUUACUUCCCCAGUAGUGAUAUAAAUGUCGUUUUUCUUGAUUCCCUUAAUAGAGAUUAACGCACCCUUCAUCAUUUUAAACAUACUGUUUUCAAUUUUACCGGUGAAGUUGUCUUUCUCAAGUCUUCCUACUGAAAUUAAAUUCCUAGAUAAUUCCGGAAUAUAUCUAACUUCUUUUAACACGUACACAAAGCCUGUGUUAAAUUUUAUCUUUAUAUCUCCAAUUCCAGCAAUUGUAUAGGAGAAGUUAUCACACAGAACUACUUGUCCAUCAUUAGAUUCUUGCAAGUUUUCAAACCAGUUCUUUUCAGAUGUCACAAACAAGUUACCUGAAGACUGCGUCGCCGGAAAACCCCCCACGCGCCGCCUAUCCCAGAGCGCCUCGGCCUGCUGAUGAUGGGUAUGGCCUCCGUUUGUCCAACCGAGCUCUGGUUUGUGAGUAAUUGCAAAUUUUCAGACUCGGAUUCUAAGUUGAAAGUGCGAAAAUCAGCCGAUUUUGAGCCCUUUUUUUGCCACCCAAGCUCUGAUACCAGAUGUUAGGACCUUCCUCUUGCAGCUCACGGUGAUUUUCGGGCUCAGUUAACCAUUAAACAUCGAAUUCAACAUCAAAACCAAAGUCCCCAACUCGCCGGCGCUACCCUCUCCUAUGGUUGCUUUCUUCUCUUGCUUGGUUGAUUCAAUCCACACACUUAGGAUGGAUACCACUCAGGUAAGGUUCACAAAGACUCAAGCAAUUUGGGUGGAGAAGAAAUCACGAAGAAGAUGAAGGCAGAAGACACGGCUGGACACGACAGUUUCUCUUUUCUCACGGCUUCAACUUUUGGACGGGACCAACAAGGAUGAAAACACCAAUAUAUAUAGUAAGUCAAGUGGCCAACAUAAGGUAAGUAAGGAUAUGGUAAGUAGGCUCGAUUAGGGUUAACUUCCAAUGGAAAGAAUCAACAAGCCACAAAGAGUAUUAGCCGUCCAAUAGGUAAGGCAACGUCUGGUCGGUUAAUCCAUUAUUCGAUGUUGAAUUAUCGUUCAGUCAUUUAUGUCGACUGAUAAAAUUGGUUCUCAUCAUCGCCCGGGAGCUCGUUUGACAACAUAAUGUCUAACAGAUAUUGAGCCAUCUGAUGCUGAAUCCACCAUGCUCUUAUGGUGUGGAAGUAAUCCUGUGUAGAAAAAUCGAAUCUGGGUCUUUUUAUCGAACCCAUGCUGAGGGCAUUUUCGGAGCAUGUUUUUAAAUCUGUUCCAGGCUUCGUCAAAUGAUUCAUUCUCUCCUUGACUGAAUACUGAUAUAUUAUGUCUCAGCUUCACUAUCUUGGCUGGGGAGAAGAACUUUGUGCAGAAUUUGUUUGCCAGCUCAUUCCAUGUAGUGAUACUUGCAAUCGGGAGUGAAUCCAACCAUUCAAGUGCUCUGUCUCGUAACGUAUGUGGAAAAAGCCUUAAUCUGAUAGCGUCAUCUGAAAUCCCUUGGUAUCUGAAAUGUUGACACAUAUCUAGAAAUCGAGAUACGUGUGUGUGUGUGGAUUCUCCUCGGCUUUGCCAUAGAAUUGGUGUCCAUUUUGAAACAGCUGUAUUACAUUGGUCUUCAAUUGAAGGUUGGGCUGCCCAAAUGGUGGAUAUACAAUGUUGGAUUGGCUUUGAAUAACUUGAGGAGUCAAUAAGUCCCCCAGAAUUUCGUUUCCUUCAUCCACUGCCUCUCCUUCGUUAGCUUGAAUAAUAGGAUUGUUUAAUUCGUUGGCCAUUUGUACUUGUGCUUCGCGGUGAUCUCUUUGUCGUCGAUGAAAGGUGCGCUCAAUUUCAGGAUCAACUGGAAUCAAUUCUCCUCCAGACAAUCGUGACAUGCAAAUCUGAGAAUUAAAACCAGUACGAGCACUGAGAUUCAAACAAUUUAAAUAACUAAAACACAAAUAAAGGAUAAUAACCCUAAAUGAAAAUAAAAAAAAAUAAAAACAAAAUUAUGCUAGCAAAAUAAAAAUUGAGUUCGAAUUAGUGCCUCGAGAAAUAAAAUUAAACUAAACUCAAUCCCCGGCAACGGCGCCAAAAACUUGUUCGCCAAAUUAUUUUCUUUCGAUUUAAAAUCACCGCAAGUAUACGGUACGUUAACAAGUAAUAAAGUGGAUUCAAUGAGUCCGAAUAUCGUCCCACAGAGAUUGAUUAGUUCAAAUUUUAUCUACCUUAGCCUUAACCGAAACUAAAUUACCAAAGUGGAUGUAAACCUAAUUGAACCUUAAUUAUGCAAUUUUUUUUUUGAUUAAAUUGAAAUUAAUAUGCAAAACAAUAAAUUAAACUCGAGAAUGAAAUCUAAAAGUUGAGAACGCACUUGUUAUAAUUAUUAGGAAUGAAAUACACUAGGAUCACUAAUUCCCAUGCAAUUAUCACUUUAAAUCCUAGUUUCACAAUAUGACAACAUAUUUCGAUUUUGACGAAUCAAUGUUCCUAAAUCUAUCCAAUACUCUCUCUCGAGAUGUAUCAAACCUAUCUCUACAUACCACCGGUCUAUAUUUCUAUGACAAGAGCAUAUGUAAAAAUGCAUGCAAUUUUAUGAACAUUUAAAGAUUCACAUAGAGCAUAGCAGUAUAUUUCUAUCCACUAUCGGACCCUACGAAGAUUUAUACUAUGUCAAAUCUAUUCCAAUUCUCUCGAAUGCAAGAAUAAAUCACUUAAAUUCACACAAUUACGAGCCCUUAAUUGCGGAAACAUUUAAUUGCAUAUAAAUCAUUCAACAUAAUAGAAAUUAUGUCUUACAUCAAAUUGCAAAACUAGAAUAUUAAAAUUCAAAUCACAUGGUUCAUCGAUCUUCUAGCAUAAAUAGAAUCUAGCCUAGCAUGCUCAAAAUAACAAAAUACAUCAAAGUUUGUAUACAAGACAUCACCGGGUUAUAAAACUUGAAUAAAUCUUGAAGUUUUUCGUGUCAAUCUUUGUUCUUGCGCUCAAAUCCUCUUCAAGAAUUGUUUUUCGGCCUCCAAUUACGUUCUGGGCGUCUCUGAAAUGUUUUUGAUAUUUAUAUCCCGUGGAAAAUUAGGUUACCAUAGGUAUUUCAAUCGUAUAAGGAAAGAAAAUUUUCGCGCUGAAUUUGUACCAUGCGACCGCACGGUUUUAAUCCGUGCGGCCGCAUGGUUAUCCUCUUUUUCAUUCUUAAUCCCUGCAUCAUUUUGUGCGGCCGCACGACGUUUCUACCAUGCGACCGCAUGGUAGAAUUGAUCUUUUAGUUCCUACAAUUUGGUCCCUUCACUUUAAUCUUCUACUUUUUUACAUCUUUUCUUCAUUCUUCACAUUCCAUCAUCCCAAAAUGUCAUCAAUUCGUAUUUGGCAAACUCAAUUUCUUGAUUUGUUCAUCAGGUCAACUUUUGAGUAAUUGCACCUUGGUCCUUGAAUUUUCACUUUGUGUCAUUUUAGUCCUUUUUCGCAUCUUUUCUCAUGUAUUUCACCAUAUCCAUCGGUGUUAACUACAAUUCACAAAUGUAAUGAAAUUAAGUCACAAUUCAGUCAUUUUAUUUGUAAUGAAGUCAUGUUUGUGACCUAAAUAAGUGUGCAAAAAUACACUUAUCGGCAUACAUCUCACUUUUUCCAAUAAGUAUCUAUUCAUUCUCUCAGCAACACCAUUUUGUUGAGGAAUGUAUGUUAGAGUUCUGUGUCUUAAGAUUCCAUAAUCUUUACAAAACAGGUCAAAUUCAGAGUUGCAAAACUCAAGACCAUUAUUAGUCCUUAAAGCCUUGAUUUUCUUAUUUGUUUGGUUUUCGAUCAUUAAUUUCCAAUGUUUAAAGGUUUGAAAAGUAUCAGAUUUUUGUUUUAGAAGAAAAGUCCAAAUUUUUCUUGAAAACUCAUUUACUAUUAGUAGAUGGAAUCUAAAUCCACUCAAAGUAUUUACAGAUGCUGGUUCCCAAAGAUCAGCAUGUAAAUAUUCUAAUAUAGAAGUAGAUUUAUGAAUACUAGUUUUGAAAGGCAACUUUUUCUGUUUUCCAAAUACACAAUUUUCACAAAAAUCCAAACCCUUAACAUUGUUCGUACCCAAACAUCCAAGUUUAUUUAAGAUUAUUAGUCCCUUUUCUGAGAUGUGGCCAAGUCUUUUAUGCCAAAUUAAAGACUUAUUGGAAUCAGAGUUUAAGGCUGUAGAACAGUGAUCUAUCACAAAUUGAGCACAUACAGUAUAUAUGCCAUUGAUCUUUUGAGAGGAAAUGAUAGUUUUAUUUUCCUUACAUAAGUGUUAAAAAACCUUUAUGAAUCAUAAUGUUGUAUUUAUCAUCUAGCUUACCCAAGGAAAUAAGGUUUCUUUUUAACUCUGGGACAUAUAUGGUGUUCUCAAGUUCUAGGGUACAAUUGUUAUUUAAUGAGAGUUUGACCUUCCCAAUCCCCUUAAUUGGAUAACUCAUGUCAUUUUCCAUUUGAAUUUGUCCUCCAUUUAGGUCAACAAAUUCAGAAAAACAUUCUUUUGUGGGACACAUGUGAAAGGUGCAGCCAGAGUCAAGAACCCAUUCAUUUGGGUCUCUUCUGGUGGUUGUUACUAAAGCAACCCCUUGAAUAUCAGAUUCAUCUCUAAGGCUACAGCUGCAGAUCCCUCAGUAUUAGUAUUCUCUUUCAUAUCUGAGAUUUUCUUGAAGCAGUCUUUUAUUACAUGGCCAGUUUUACCACAGUAAUAACAUUUCCUGAUCUGGUUUUUAGUUUUCCAUUGAUUUUUAUUCUUUCUCUUAGAUCUGGAGAAUUGAGUUUUCCCUUUCUUAUUUAAAUUUUGAUUUAAGGGAUAUUGUUUCUUAUUUUGGUUCUGUUUCUCCUUUAUGAAUAACCCCUCACCAUACCUAGAGUCUUUAGACUCAGAUUUUAUUUCAAGUUCUCUAUUUCUCAGGGCUGAGGUUAUUCUAUUAAUGAUAAGUUCUUGCCCCCCAUAUUCUAAUGCAUUUCUAAUGUCUCUAUACUUAUCACUUAGUGAAUUUAACAAUGCCACAGCUUGUUGAUCAUCAGAGAUUUCUUCAUCACAGUUAGUCAAGUCCUGAAUCAGUUUUGUGAAUCUGUCAAGGUUAUCUUCCAGAUUUGAGGUAGGAUCAAAUCUGAAAUUAUAGAAUUGCCUUAGAAGGUAGCAUUUAUUAGGCAUAGUUCUAGUUAGAUAUAAUGUUCCUAACUUAGUCCAAAGAGCCUGAGCAGAAGUAGUUUCUCCAACUUUCCUAAUUACACUAUCAGAUAAGAGCAAGAAAAUUGUGCUUCAUGCAAUAUCAUCUAACUCCUGUCUCCUAUAGGCACUAGUUUCUGUAGGCCAGUUACCAUCAAUGGCUGCAGCAUAUCUCUGCUGCAGCAAUAAUGCCCUCAGUUUUUGGCACUAGAGACUGAAGUCUCCAGUACUGUUCCAUCUCUCAACUUCAAAUUUUUGAGACGUGGACAUGAUGACAGAUAUGUACACACAAAAUUUAUACAGCACACGGUGUAUAUUAAUUCAGGUAUUUUAUUUGAAUUGAUAGAAAAUGUGACAGAAUGAAUAAGGCAGAAAAUAUAAUUGUAUCUUCCUAUCAUGCAAUAUACAAUUCAAUUCAAAAGAACAGGAACUGAAAGUCAAUCUAAGAGUGGUCUAAGGAGUGAUAAUCCUUGCAACCCACUACUUCCUCAGAUUCCCAGAUCCUCGCAGGAGAUCUUGGACAAAGGUAACCAGUGGAAGAUUACUUACCUUAAUGACCAAAAAACUCUAAACAUAUUACAAUUUCAGUUUAAUAAAGGGAGUUCUAGAAAAUACUAGAGUCUAAAACUUAAUAUUUUAGAAUAUAGGAAACAGUAAGGAAGUGUCAGAACCGGAAUAAGAGGAGCAAUGCAAGUUCAAGAAGCCAACGAGUCACCAGAACUCAGUGUGAACUCAGUAGUGAGUUAAGAACUCACCACAAACCGGACCGAGUCAACUAAACUCGCACAACCCAGUACAAAAACAACAGAUCAAACAGAGUUAGAAUCGAGUUAGAACGAGUUAAAACGAGUCAUAAAGAAAAUUAAAAUUUCAGCUUUCAAGAACCAAAAAAGACGAUUUUCAGAAAAAACCAGAUCUAAGAUCCCCAAGAAUCCUUUUGUAAAUAUUGUUCGAAAAUUUCUUUUCAGAAAAUAGUGGCUUUGAUACCACUUGUUAAGUCGAAGGAUCGUUAAGUCUCAAAAAUGGAUCGCUUUGCAGUAAAAAAUAGAUUUGCAGAAAAUUAAAAAAUCGAACGCGAAGAUAUGUUUCGUCCUAAAAAGGGCCCGGAUGUUCGAUCUUGCGACCUAAUCAUCCGUUAAGCAUCACCAAAAGGUAAUAAAGCUCAAGAUCCACUAAGUAUCAACCAAGAACAGUACACCAUGUACGAAGAAACCAAAGGUUUCUUCGAAUAUUCUUUCGCAUCUAUUCAAAACUAUAAUCCAACUCACUCUCAAUCGCUAACAGACUGUACAACACAAUCAGAAACCAUCACUAAGAUUACAGAUUGAUAAAUCACCAAGAACAUAUCGAAUUUCAGUAACCCAAGAACCCUAAUCUAUCACUCAGAGAAAAGGAGAGAGAGAGAGAGACGAAAGGUUGAAAAGACUUCGAAUCAUCUAGAAUCGGGGCCAAAACCAAGUAAGUAUCUGAUCAGUCAACCAUCAAAGGGUGAGAAUGAAGCCACGUGUACGGCUGAACCUCAACCAUUUAAGAGGCAAAGGCGUGUUUAUUUAAAACACGAUUUACAACCCAAACUUAAUUCCAAACAGACCAAACCCACAAGUCUCAAUUUGGGCCAGCAAGAAAUGGUGAGGCAACCUAACUAAUAUAACACUGAUAAACAAGGAUAAAUUUAACUUAUUUUUGUUUCUAAACAAGGUGAGUUGCUACAAAAUUCACCUUAGCAAAUGAACUAACUAACAUGUUUCUGUCCAAUCUAAACUCAUAUUUAAGGGUGGACAAAAUGUCCAAACCAGACCAAAUCAAACUAGAACCAAACCAAGCGGUUUGGUUCGGUUCUAUCCAAAAAAUUGAUGAUUUUGGUUCUGUGAAUCGAGAACCAUUUGGUUUUGGUUCUGGUUCAGUUCUAGUUCAAAAAUCAGAACCAGAACCAGAACCAAACUUAAUAUUUAAUUUUAUAUAUAAUAAUUAGUGGAGACCCUAAUUUUUUAUUCAUUGAAGAUAGCCUAUUAAUUGAAUACAGUUUAUUAAUCAAUUUUGGGUUAUUAGAGAUAAACAACUCAUUAGUUGUCUACACUCUAAUUUUGUAUUCAGUUGAAUUAUUUCUCUUCACUCAUUUUCAAAUUACAUAACGUCGCAGCAUACUGAUACCGCAUUUUAUCAAAUCAGUGGAGUGUCAUUUAAGAUCGAAAAAUGAAAAUGAUCAAUUACUUAAAAAGUUUCUAAACUCUUUUUUUACCUUGAUUGUUUGAUGAGUUAUUUGUAUUCUUCACAAAUAGAGGAAAACCACAUUCAUGAAAUAUUAAACGGUUAAUGUUACCUGUAGAAGUGGACUGUAAAAAUUUUGAUAAUUCAUUCUUUAUUGUAGGGGUGUGCCUUCAAAACUACUGCAAUUAAUUUAGUGAAUAUUUGCUAUUACUUAUUAAACAAAUUUUUGUAUGAAAACGAAAACUGAUUUGUGUAUUCAAAUUAUGAAUAUAUUUUAUUUUUUAGUUAUGACUUUUUUUUUAUCUCGAUGAUUGAAAUUUGAACUUCCUAAAUGUUAUUUUCUUAUUUAGGUAUACAUUACUAAUUUAUAUGAAGUAAGAACUGAAAUUAGAACCAAACCAAACCAGAACCGAACGGUUCGGUUUAGUUUGGUUUCAUAUCUUUAAAAAAAUCAUUUGGUUCCAUUAUAAAAAAAAAAUCAUUGGUUCAUGGUUCGGUUCGAUUCUCUUGAAACCAGAACAAUAUGGAAACACGUCCACCCCUACUCAUAUUCGUUCACUGUGAACUCAAGAAUGCAUUGGAUAAAACAUGCUACAAAAUCAACCUUGAACGUGGUGUAGCCAUUGUAGGGAUUGAACAAAUACGAUAUUAAAUGGUCCCAACUCUGACUAAGAACACUGAAUGUCAAAAGUAUCAAAUUCACUGAAUAGAUCGAAACUAUCACAUUAAGAAAAUUGACAAUUAAACAUGUUGCAUUCAAGUGAAGAAGAAUUGUAGUCAUGUUUUUGAUAUGUGGAGUGGUAAUGAGGGGAGAAAAACCACAGAAUGGGGUUAACAGAGAGAGAGAUGUGACCAGCUUUGUGUGGAAAGGUUAUCCAGUUGCCACCAGUGCCAUAGUUUUGAAUGUAAUUCUUGAGGAUUGCAUCUUCUUCUUGAGACCAAAGCCCAGUAAUUUUCGUUUGUAGACUUUUAGUCCCUUUAGCUUCUUGACUUUGCAAGACCUUUAGAUUUACAGUUAUAUUUUUGCCUUAAGAGUCUGUUUGGGAGUGAUUUUGAGAAUUGAUUUUUUGACCGUUAGAAAAAAAAAAAAAAAAAAGUGGGGUCCACCUGUGAGAGAAGAAGUCAAAUAUGACAGUUGGAAUAGUGAAAUAACGGUCAAAAAAUCAAUUUUUUGGAGGAAAAAUCGCUCCCAAACAGGCCUUAAAUCUUCUAGGUUAAGAUUGGUGAAAUGGUCAAUAUGUAGUAAUUGAUCAUUUCAAUAGGAUAUAUAUAUAUAUAUAUAUAGACACACGCGCGUCAUGUGUGCAUGUGAUAUGUUUGAUGGAUUUUUAGUUGGCACAAUUUCAUUGGAUAUUGAAAAAAAAAAACAACUUCAAAUCAAUCAACACAGUGUUGUCACCUUGUCAUCUGUAAAAAUCCGUAUAAAUACAAUUGUACAAGGAGCUUAAUUCUAAUUUUUUCUUGUUUGAUAGCUAUGUUCUUCGCAACCGACUCAAAGUCAUAUAACGAUAGUUAAGUUCGGCAGAAUUAUGUCACUUGUUCUUUUUAAGCAUAUGAAUUAAUGAACAUUGCCAAACAUGGCUUCAAGCCAUGCAGAAGACCAACUUCUUUUUGCCCUUUUCAAUUACAAAAAAGGGGAGGCUGCGAAUUUUUACAAAGCAGAAGACAGUGAAACAUCGUCGAUACUACAACUCUUUGGAUAAGCUGAUUAAAAAAUUUACUUGUAUAUAAAAUAAGUAAAAAGUAAAUAAUAUUUUCUUUGGAAAAAGAAGAGAAAUAUUCGGAAAUAAAUCUUAUCUUGCUAUUAGAAUAAAUAAGUCUCUCAAAUAAGAAAAAAAAAUGUAAUUGAGAAUGCUUAUAAACAAAAUAUCAACUAACUUUUAGCUUAGCCAAAAUAUUCUGUAGAGAACAAGAAGAAAAUAAAUUGAGAGAAUCCUUUGUGAUAAUUUCUGAGAGAGACAUUAUAUUCGGUUGUGAAUUGGCCAUUGACUAGAAAGUAUGAAACAAGAAAUGGUGAUCACACCCUCACUUUCUUGUCCAUCUUAAAAUGAAAACAAAAACCAAUAGUUAUAACAAUGUGGGUUGUAUAAAAAUUCAUUAUUUAGCCUCGUCAAUUUCUUCUUUUUUGUCGUUCGUUUGGAUACUACGUUUUUAGGGACCCAAAAUAUUGAAGUCAUCGAAUAAAUAGAUCAGAAGUAAAUGAAACUAUCACUCCACAAGUAUCUACUGUUUCAAAGUUCCAUGUAAAUAUUGAUUAUAAUGUGUUCUAAUUUCUUACGUGCCGUGCCACAUUGAGUAUAUUGGAAAACAUGUAUAAAGGCCAUAAGCAACAAGUAUUUUUUGGUGGGACCGACUAGCCCCAUCCAGGCAUCGGACUUGUCGUGACUCGAGUAGCCCCGACUCAAUUUGACACCACUAUUAAUUUUCAUCUUAAAUAUUCAUGCACAUUGUACACAAAGGCUAAAAUAAAUAAUGUGAAAGUUCAAUUCAUUUGUAUCAAAUGUUUACAUAUAUAUGUUGUAUCAAUAAACAAUCCCUUAUCAUAUCAACUAACAUAUAUAUAUAAAGACAUCUCCUGAUGAUUUCAAUAUAAAUUAGGAACCCCUUCAUUGGCUGCCUCUUGGGACCAAAUUUCAUCCAGAAUUUCAUAAGAACGUCGAUAGCCGAUAUUAUCCAUUGGAAUCCCGUUGCUGCAACUGCCAUUGCCAAAGAUGAAAUCAUUUCCAAGCUGUGAAAAUGUUUCAGAAAUGGUUGAAUCUUGUUGGGAAGAUGAAGAAAAGCUCGGGUUUUUAGUACUCUCAGUUAAACAAGGACUUAUAGGAGAUGUCUCUUGACCUGAAAAUGUGGGAACCAAAGUGUUAGUGGUUGAAGAUGAGAGGUCGGUUUUCGCUUUCGCAGCGGUGGUGUCGAUACUAUUUGUGGGGUUAUAACCAUAAUUUGCUGCUAUUGGCUUCUUCUUUAACUUGCUGUUCCAGUAGUUUUUCACAUCGUUGUCUGUUCUUCCGGGUAGAUGAGAUGCUAUGACAGACCAUCUAUGAAUUAAACAUAAAAAUGUUAAUAAAUAAAAAAUUAAGAGGAAAAAAAUCAUAAUUAACAUUGAACUUGCUUGCUUCCCAAGACACCAUAGAGAGUGUAUAUGAUAUUGUCUUCCUCCGGUGUAAAAGCUUCAUGUGUGAUAUCCGGUCGAAGGUAAUUAAGCCACCGGAGACGACAGCUCUUGCCACAACGGUUAAGACCUGAUAAACAAGGAUAAAUUUAACUUAUUUUUGUUUCUAAACAAGGUGAGUUGCUACAAAAUUCACCUUAGCAAAUGAACUAACUAACAUGUUUCUGUCCAAUCUAAACUCAUAUUCGUUUACUGUGUAAUCAAGCAUGCAUUGGAUAAAACAUGCUACAAAAUCAACCUUGAACGUGGUGUAGCCAUUGUUGGGAUUGAACAAAUACCAUAUUAAAUGGUCCCAACUCUGACUAUGAACACUGAAUGUCAAAAGUGUCAAAUUUACUGAAUAGAUUGAAAAUAUCACAUUAGAAAAUUUGACAUUUAAACAUGUUGCAUUCAAGUGAAGAAGAAUCGUAGUCAUGUUUUUUAUAGGUGGAGUGCUAAUGAGGGGGAAAAAACCCCACAGAAUGGGGUUAACAGAGAGAGAGAGAGAGAUGUGACCAGCUUUGUGUGGAAAGGUUAUCCAGUUGCCACCAGUGCCAUAGUUUUGAAUGUAAUUCUUGAGGAUUGCAUCUUCUUCUGGAGACCAAAGCCCCUUUCUCACUUUAGUCUUAUCACAGCAAGGAGUUUUUACCAUGGUUGGCCUAUCUUCCUACAAUAGAGAGAGAAACAGAGUGUGUGCGUUUGUGUGAGGGAAGAAGAUUAAUAGACGUGCAAGUACCAAGUAAUUUUCCUUUGUAGACUUUUAGUCCCUUUAGCUUGCUUGACUUUACAAGACCUUUCGAUUUACAGUUCUAUUUUUGCCUUAAAUCUUCUAGGUUAAGAUUCGUGAAAUGGUCAAUAUGUAGUAAUUGAUCAUUUCAACAGCACUUGUGGAAAAUAAUUGGUGUGUAUAUAUAGACACAUGCGUAUCAUGUGUGCAUGUGAUAUGUCACCCAAAUUUUAUUCGUAUUUUACAUAUUAUAACAUUAAUUAAUUUUUUCAAUCAUACAAUAUGUAUAGGAAUUUUUGCCCGACAGUUUGAUGGAUUUCCAGUUGGCACAAUUUCAUUGGAUGUUGAACAAAAAGCAACUUCAAAUCAAACUAUCCAGUGUUGUCACCUCGUCAUCUGUAAAAAUUCGUAUAAAUGCAAUUGUGCGAGGAGCUUAAUUCUAAUUUUUCUUGUUUGAUAGCUAUGUUCUUCGCACCCGACUCAAAGUCAUAUAAUGAUAGUUAAGUUCGGCAGAAUUAUGUCCCUUGUUCUUUUUAAGCAUAUGAGUUAAUGAAGGAUAACAAAACGUUUCUACCUUUCAAGUUUAUUGUGGAAAAAGUCCCUACCUUUUAUUUUUUUGCAUUUUCGUUCUUACCUUCUACAUUUUUUUGUGCUGAACGUUCUUUUCACUUAUUUUUAAUGUAAAAUGACCAAAAUACACUCUCAUUUAAAUAAGACCAAAAAUAAAUAAAUAAAAAUUACAAUCUUACUCCUAAAUAUUUUAAAAAGUGCAAGUGAGUCAAAAUAAUUAUUAAAAAGCAUAUUAGCACAAAAAGUCCCUACGUUUGGCCUAUAGUGUACAAAACAUCCAUAUGUUUCAAAUUGGUGAAAAGAAGUUUUUCGCAAUGAAACGUGCAAAUAGGGAUGAAAACGCAAAAAAAUUGAAAUGUAUGGACGUUUUCUGCAGGAAGUGUCAAACGUAAAGAUUUUUUUGAUUAUUAGGCCUUAUUAAAAUAUUAAAAAUAACAAAUAAAACUCACUCUCUUUUCUUCUUCUCCAAAUGGGACUGCCACAUUAGAAGUGAAAAAACUUCAACCAACCAUCGCUUAAACUGUCGAACCUCCAUACCAUUGAACCAUCUAGUGAUAUUUUAAGAUCAUGAAAAGAGGCGCCCUAGUGAGUAUAAUCGAUUGGUGUGUUGAAAAUGGUAUGGGUCUCUUCGGAAUAGGCGAUGUCGCUAGUAUUUGCAUUCGCGAGUUAGGUAUUUUGGCUUGCAAUUCCGAACAAAUCUAUUGACUUGAAGGUUUCAAGGUUAGAUGUUGAGUGGUAUGUGUAGAGAUAAGAGAGGGUUUUUCGGUGAUAUGGUGGUCCAGCAAUUUGCGUGGUGGUUUGCUGGAAUUUUUUGGCUUCUAAGGUGACUAACCCAUUUGGAGAAGAGGAGAAAGAGAGUUUUUUUUUUAAAUAUUUUAAUAAGGCCUAAUAUCAAAAAAUUCCCUACGCUUGACACUUCUUGCAGAAAACAUCCCUACAUUUCAAUUUUUUUGCGUCUUCAUCCCUAUUUUUACCUUUCAUUGUGAAAAACGUCAUUUUCACCAAUUUGAAACGUAUGGACAUUUUGCACAUUAUAGGCCAAAUUUAGGGACGUUUUGUGCUAUUAGACCUUUUAAUAAUUAUUUGGACUCACUUGCACUUUUUAAAAUAUUUAGGAGUAAGAUUUAUAAUUUGUUUUUUAUUUUCCUUUUCUUUUUUUAUUUAAAUAGGAGUGUAUUUUGGUCAUUUUACGUUAAAAAUUGGUGAAAAUGACAUUCAACGAACAAAAAAUUGGAAGGUGAGGGCAAAAAUGUCAAAAAUGAAAUGUAGGGACUUUUUCACAAUAAACUUGGAAAGUAGGGAUGUUUCGUGCCAAUUACCCAUUACAGAAAAUACUUUUUAACAUUUUUUUCCUUGUUGCAACACUAUCAUAUAUUAUUCAAUUUAGCUUGCCAAUCAUGUCCUAUAUUUUUUAUUAUUUAUUUAUUUAUUUAUUUUAUGACAGUGGGUAUUCGGGCCAGUUUACGCGUAUCUCAACUAAUCCCACGACGUCCUGAAAUUUACAAUCGGGUACUUACCUCAAUGGCGGAUUUUAUUCCACGUAUUUUAAAUAUGUUUUAAUAAAUAUUUCAAGGAAAAUAUUUAAGCUCCUAGUUAGUGGGUAAAAUUAGAUUUUUAGUUAAUUUUAAUAAAAAUUGAUGAAAUGUGGGGCUGAAAAGUUAUAGAUCCUAUGAAAUAGUGGUUAAAAUUAAUUGUUGAUUUUGAUUUAAAUUAAAAUCUAAAUUUUAAUUCCUACCAAGCAAAGACUUAAUAUUUUUUCAGCAAUAGAGUUUGCAACUAACAACGUCUCUAUGUUUUUUAGAAUAAAAUUUUAGCAUAAUUAAAUACAAAAUAUAUAAUAUUAACAGGGCGAGAACUCACUCAGAGAUAUUUUAAGAUUUGCAAAUUACAAUGGGAUUUUGUUGAGGGAGAUUUUCCCUUGCAAAUUAUUUCAAUGAUGUCUUGGAGAAAAGCUUAGAAACGAAAUCUGUAACAAAUUUUUGAACAGAAUUGUAAUAAUUUUCUAUUAUUUAUUAAGAUCAACUUUAAUUCUUUUCCUAUUUCGUUGCAAAUUGGCUACACAGUUUAGCAGCUCAAUAGAGAAAACUAAAUUCUAAUGACUCAAUUGAACUUUCAUUAGAAGUUCACUGACCACAGAAGAAAUUAAUCGUAAACAUUUUCAUCUGGAAAAAUAAUAAUAAUUAAUAAUAAUAAUAAUCAUGAUAUUAAUAAUCUAUAUCUUAUUGUUUGAGACCAUUCAUGGUAAAUAGGGUACGUAGUGAAAAAUGAUCUUACAAAGUGAUUGUUACUUUAAAGGUCUAAUGUUGUAUAAUGUUUUUUUUAAGUAAAUUUACAGUAAAUGAUGUUUUUAUUUUUACCUUCAUAGUCGUAAAAGGUUGGAUUAUGAAAUUGCGAAACAUAAUUUUUUGAAUUGGAUCAAGACUUCCAAUUAAAUAAGUAUGAGUAAAGGAUCAACACUGAAUUGAAUAAAAAUUAACUAUUCGAGUCAGGUCAAAUUGAUCCUCAACACAAAAAGAAGAAGAAAAAAAUUAUGCAAAAAUGUAGAUAAAAAUAUUGAAGAAUGGCAUUCUUAUUUAUAUUUAGCCUGAGUGGUGAAAAUUAAAAUUAAUAUUGUAAUCUAAGUCAAAUUUAAUAAUUAAUUUUAAUUACAUACUUCAUAGUAUCCACAACUUUUCAACCACAAAUUUUAUUAAUUUUUAUCAAAAUAUAUUAAAAGUUUAAUUUUAAUCAUAGUCAAGUAGGAGGAGUAUAAACUCAACCAAAUGAAUUGAUGGCUUUUAUUGGUUUAGAAUAAAAAAAUUGCCAAACAAGUCCCAAGAAUUCUCCCAUUACACUUGUCGUGGUAAAAAAUUGACAAACAAGAAAAGAAAAUUUACACAAAUUGCAAGAAAAAUUCUUUUGUUUUGUUUUUGUUUUUGUUUUUGUUUUUUUUUUUUUUUUGGUUUUUGUAAGAAUUGCAUUGCCAACAUGUUGCAUUGAUAAUCGUUUUUUUUUUAAUUUAUGGAAACAUAUUGCGUAAAUCUAAAAUAGAAAAAAAAAAAAAAGAAUUGUUGAAGUUUAAUCUUUCGCUCCAAUAACGGGCUGGUUUUAAAUUUUUAAAUCUUUUAACAAUGAGCAAUUUGAUUUCAGAAUUUUAAAAACUGAGUAAAUCAAAAUCUUGAUAAUAAAAUUCAUUCAAUAUUUAUUAGAUUGACAUGUUGUUUUUAUUGAAACACGUAGCGUUUUAAAUUUUUAAGAAUCGACUCAACUUCAAAAUCAUAAUCUAACUUUGACCAUGUGUUGACCUCCAUGUUCGAAAAUUCAUUUUCAUUCAAACAUUAUAUUUAUUUUUCACUUUUUAUUCUUUUUGUAAUUUAAUUAUCCAUGCAAGAUUUCGGAAUUCCUCUCUCACUUGGUAUUUAUUCCUAUAGUUCGUCCCACAUCUGCAAACGGCGCCAAUGUUCGAAUAUUUUCUUGUCAUUUCCCUUCCUCUCUCAUUUUCUUAAAAAAUAAAAAUAAAAAAUAAUGAAAAGAAUUGAUGAACACUAAGUCGAAAUAAAUAAUUGAUCCGAUGGAACAUUUUCUUCUACCAUAAAUUGGAACUCACAACCUUUAUCAAUUAUACGUUUCAUCAAAUUUUAUCAAAAUUUACUAAAAAAUAGAUUUUUAGCUAAACCAAAUAGGUGCAAACUUUACAUUGGAUAUUCGUGGAUUAUUUGAUAGAUUAACGAAAAUUGAUUCUUUAAAUACAAUGAAAGAUUAAGAACUAAGUUAAUCGUUUUUUUAUAAGUUGGAAAACAAUUUGUUGCUAGAACAAUGAGUCUAGUCAGAUUUUGGCAUCAUUUUGAACACAUUUCACUUGAGGUGGGUUAUCCUUAGACCAUUGGAGCUCGACCUUCAAACUUGACAUCUCGGACUUCGUCAAUCUUCGAUGAGUUUGGCACUUUGGUGUUGUCUUUUUUGUUGCUUUAGCCGACCGUAUGGCAUAAACUCGACCGAUUGGCUUAAUUGUUGACUUUAAUAAUCACGUCAAUUCGAUCAAUCUCAAAAUAUUGCAUCAAUUUUAAGUUCAACCUAUGGGGGCCUAAGAAUGAUAAGUGGCACCUACUUGAUCAUUACAAUCAAACUAGUUGCAAUCAACACUAUAUAAUAUUAUAUAUAAAUCUAGUACUAUAUAUUUAAUUUUAUAACUACUUGCAAGUUGUACCAAACAAAUUUGUUUAUACCACUAUAGAAAUUGAAUAGACACGUACAAUAGAAUCAAACUAGAUUGAUCCGUUUCACAAAAAGAGAUUUUUAUUCUAGUUUGUUGGUAAAGCCCUACACUUUAUUAUUUUAUGUGGGUUUAAAGAAGGAAAAAUUGCAGCAGAAGUCCCAAACUUUUGAAGCAUUAGCAGACUUUCCCAAAAUCUUUUAUUUGUUGCAGCCGUUACCCUUAAUAUUUUCAAAAGUUGCAAAUGAGGCCCCUUUGGACGGUUUUCGUCAAAAAUUCCGUUAGUUGACCGAAAAUUUGAACUUUGGUCACAUUUUAAUCAAUUAUAAAGGGACAAAAUUGUAACUUUAUAUUUACAACAUUAAACAAUUAAAAAAACAUAAAUCAAAAACAACAAAAAAGGAAAAGAAAAGAAAAGAAAAAUGGAUCUUGCACCCCANNNNNNNNNNNNNNNNNNNNNNNNNNNNNNNNNNNNNNNNNNNNNNNNNNNNNNNNNNNNNNNNNNNNNNNNNNNNNNNNNNNNNNNNNNNNNNNNNNNNNNNNNNNNNNNNNNNNNNNNNNNNNNNNNNNNNNNNNNNNNNNNNNNNNNNNNNNNNNNNNNNNNNNNNNNNNNNNNNNNNNNNNNNNNNNNNNNNNNNNNNNNNNNNNNNNNNNNNNNNNNNNNNNNNNNNNNNNNNNNNNNNNNNNNNNNNNNNNNNNNNNNNNNNNNNNNNNNNNNNNNNNNNNNNNNNNNNNNNNNNNNNNNNNNNNNNNNNNNNNNNNNNNNNNNNNNNNNNNNNNNNNNNNNNNNNNNNNNNNNNNNNNNNNNNNNNNNNNNNNNNNNNNNNNNNNNNNNNNNNNNNNNNNNNNNNNNNNNNNNNNNNNNNNNNNNNNNNNNNNNNNNNNNNNNNNNNNNNNNNNNNNNNNNNNNNNNNNNNNNNNNNNNNNNNNNNNNNNNNNNNNNNNNNNNNNNNNNNNNNNNNNNNNNNNNNNNNNNNNNNNNNNNNNNNNNNNNNNNNNNNNNNNNNNNNNNNNNNNNNNNNNNNNNNNNNNNNNNNNNNNNNNNNNNNNNNNNNNNNNNNNNNNNNNNNNNNNNNNNNNNNNNNNNNNNNNNNNNNNNNNNNNNNNNNNNNNNNNNNNNNNNNNNNNNNNNNNNNNNNNNNNNNNNNNNNNNNNNNNNNNNNNNNNNNNNNNNNNNNNNNNNNNNNNNNNNNNNNNNNNNNNNNNNNNNNNNNNNNNNNNNNNNNNNNNNNNNNNNNNNNNNNNNNNNNNNNNNNNNNNNNNNNNNNNNNNNNNNNNNNNNNNNNNNNNNNNNNNNNNNNNNNNNNNNNNNNNNNNNNNNNNNNNNNNNNNNNNNNNNNNNNNNNNNNNNNNNNNNNNNNNNNNNNNNNNNNNNNNNNNNNNNNNNNNNNNNNNNNNNNNNNNNNNNNNNNNNNNNNNNNNNNNNNNNNNNNNNNNNNNNNNNNNNNNNNNNNNNNNNNNNNNNNNNNNNNNNNNNNNNNNNNNNNNNNNNNNNNNNNNNNNNNNNNNNNNNNNNNNNNNNNNNNNNNNNNNNNNNNNNNNNNNNNNNNNNNNNNNNNNNNNNNNNNNNNNNNNNNNNNNNNNNNNNNNNNNNNNNNNNNNNNNNNNNNNNNNNNNNNNNNNNNNNNNNNNNNNNNNNNNNNNNNNNNNNNNNNNNNNNNNNNNNNNNNNNNNNNNNNNNNNNNNNNNNNNNNNNNNNNNNNNNNNNNNNNNNNNNNNNNNNNNNNNNNNNNNNNNNNNNNNNNNNNNNNNNNNNNNNNNNNNNNNNNNNNNNNNNNNNNNNNNNNNNNNNNNNNNNNNNNNNNNNNNNNNNNNNNNNNNNNNNNNNNNNNNNNNNNNNNNNNNNNNNNNNNNNNNNNNNNNNNNNNNNNNNNNNNNNNNNNNNNNNNNNNNNNNNNNNNNNNNNNNNNNNNNNNNNNNNNNNNNNNNNNNNNNNNNNNNNNNNNNNNNNNNNNNNNNNNNNNNNNNNNNNNNNNNNNNNNNNNNNNNNNNNNNNNNNNNNNNNNNNNNNNNNNNNNNNNNNNNNNNNNNNNNNNNNNNNNNNNNNNNNNNNNNNNNNNNNNNNNNNNNNNNNNNNNNNNNNNNNNNNNNNNNNNNNNNNNNNNNNNNNNNNNNNNNNNNNNNNNNNNNNNNNNNNNNNNNNNNNNNNNNNNNNNNNNNNNNNNNNNNNNNNNNNNNNNNNNNNNNNNNNNNNNNNNNNNNNNNNNNNNNNNNNNNNNNNNNNNNNNNNNNNNNNNNNNNNNNNNNNNNNNNNNNNNNNNNNNNNNNNNNNNNNNNNNNNNNNNNNNNNNNNNNNNNNNNNNNNNNNNNNNNNNNNNNNNNNNNNNNNNNNNNNNNNNNNNNNNNNNNNNNNNNNNNNNNNNNNNNNNNNNNNNNNNNNNNNNNNNNNNNNNNNNNNNNNNNNNNNNNNNNNNNNNNNNNNNNNNNNNNNNNNNNNNNNNNNNNNNNNNNNNNNNNNNNNNNNNNNNNNNNNNNNNNNNNNNNNNNNNNNNNNNNNNNNNNNNNNNNNNNNNNNNNNNNNNNNNNNNNNNNNNNNNNNNNNNNNNNNNNNNNNNNNNNNNNNNNNNNNNNNNNNNNNNNNNNNNNNNNNNNNNNNNNNNNNNNNNNNNNNNNNNNNNNNNNNNNNNNNNNNNNNNNNNNNNNNNNNNNNNNNNNNNNNNNNNNNNNNNNNNNNNNNNNNNNNNNNNNNNNNNNNNNNNNNNNNNNNNNNNNNNNNNNNNNNNNNNNNNNNNNNNNNNNNNNNNNNNNNNNNNNNNNNNNNNNNNNNNNNNNNNNNNNNNNNNNNNNNNNNNNNNNNNNNNNNNNNNNNNNNNNNNNNNNNNNNNNNNNNNNNNNNNNNNNNNNNNNNNNNNNNNNNNNNNNNNNNNNNNNNNNNNNNNNNNNNNNNNNNNNNNNNNNNNNNNNNNNNNNNNNNNNNNNNNNNNNNNNNNNNNNNNNNNNNNNNNNNNNNNNNNNNNNNNNNNNNNNNNNNNNNNNNNNNNNNNNNNNNNNNNNNNNNNNNNNNNNNNNNNNNNNNNNNNNNNNNNNNNNNNNNNNNNNNNNNNNNNNNNNNNNNNNNNNNNNNNNNNNNNNNNNNNNNNNNNNNNNNNNNNNNNNNNNNNNNNNNNNNNNNNNNNNNNNNNNNNNNNNNNNNNNNNNNNNNNNNNNNNNNNNNNNNNNNNNNNNNNNNNNNNNNNNNNNNNNNNNNNNNNNNNNNNNNNNNNNNNNNNNNNNNNNAUUUUGAUGAGUAAAUGUUUCGAUAAAUUAUGAUUCAUACUCGUACAUAAUUGUUCAACAUCUCAACUGCACUCUAUUCCAUGUCUAUUUCUUGCACUCCAGAGUUUAGACCAUCAGGAAAGCCAUUUACAACCGAAGGACAAAAAUUAUUGUCUAUAUACUUUUAUUUUACUAUAAUACAUGAUGGCAAUUAAUAACAUCAGAUAUCCCAUUAUAUAAGCAAAUUUCGAAAGUGGCGAAAUUAAUAGAAGCAUAAUGUAAAAUAAAAUAAUAAUAAUAAUAAUAAUAAUAAACUCUUUUCCUUUUUUUUUUUUUAGGUCAAAGACAAUCAUUAAAACAAGACAGCUAACCAAUUAAUAAAUUAAAUAAUUAAGCUAAAUAAAACACAAUAAUUACCCGGGCACUUAAUGCUUAAUGCUCUUAAUAAUGUGGAUGAUAUUUGUACUAUAGCCAUGUUUGAAAACCACUAAUAUAUAUAUAUAUAUAUAUAUAUAUAUAUAUAUAUAUAUAAGAAAAUGUGUGUUUAAAAAUUAGAAAAAAAAAAUUGAAUUUAUUUAUAAAAUAUUUUAUUAUGAGAAUGUGUGAUUAAAAAUGAAUUCCCACCCUACCUCGUUUGGCCCGAACCUCGCCCUGCCCUGCCUUAGACGGGUGCAGGGCGGGGACGGGGCAACUUUCUACCCUUGCCCUGUUUAAUUUUUUUUAUUUUUUAUUUUAUUUACAUUUUUAAAGUUUCGAAUUAUGUUAUUAUUAGAUAAUAAAAUAUAAAUUCAAAAUGUCAUAUUAGGGACGGGGCGGUUUUUUUGUCAUCCCUACAUAUGUUAUGAAUUUCCAACGUAGUUUGAACAAUAUUUUGAUUUUUGAAGGAAAUUUGAAAAUAUUUUAACCACGAGAAAUAGGAUCUUGUUUUUAAUAUGAAAUUCGUGAAAAAAAUACUGUCAAAUAUGAGACUCAUGUUUUCUUACAUAGAGGAAGAUAAUUGCGUGAUACUAUUCUUUUAAAAUUGAGAUCUAAUAUCCAAUUUUUGCUAUGAACUCAAUUAUUUAUUGACACAUCAUUUUAAAUUGAAAUGUCAUCAAUUUUAAUUUCAAAUAUUUAACAUUGUUAAAACACCUUCUCUCUCUCAAAAAAAGAUUCUAUCCCCCUUUUUUUUUUUUAUCUCUCCAUUCUUCACGUCAUUUAUUUGCAAGCAAAGAAUAACGUACAAAUAGCGUUUCUCCUUGUAAACUAGCUAGAGUCGAUUUUUGGCGAUACAAAGGAUGCUCGAUAAGAUGCCAAUCAUGCUGUCACUUGAUGUGAACCAUCGAAAUCAAAGUUGGUGCACAUGUUUUGUGGAGCUCCCGGCGGCCGCCAACAAGGUGGGGCUUGUAAGGGACACAAGUUGGGGUUAUGGAUAUGGAUUAGCACUUGAUUUUCUUUACUCAUUUGCUUUUAAGUCUUAAUUUUAACUCUCUUCAAUUCUUAUCCACAAUGUCAUAAUCACAUGGAGAUUCUAUUUUAAUAUCUUAUUACACCUAAACCCAUAUUUAUUAAACUCGAAUUGAAUUGAUCAGAUAGUUGAUAAAUCCGACCCGUAACCAUUCCGAAUUCUUAUAUGUGGAAAUUACAUAGAUCCCUAGAGUUAAAAUCUUGAUUUCUUAAAUAAGAUGGGAACUUUCAAUUUUCAAAAAUCAGAAAUAUCAUAUGUAAAUAUUAAAAGAAUAAUUAAAUACAUUAUUUUCAUUCCAACCCUAGCUAGAACCAUUUUCUCUCUCGUAUCACUCCACAGAUGGGUUCCAUUGCAUUCCUCUCUUCAUCUUCUCUCCUCCCUCGCUUCGCCGCCACUAAUCCCUCAUCACAAUGCUGCUCUCCUCCAUCGCACCACCAUCGACGGCCUUGUACGGUCAGCCCCGUCCCGAUGUGGUUGGUGCAGGUCCCACGAUGUGAAGCGUCGAUCUGCACGCCGCCUUGAUUGUGUUGGAAGGUUUCUUAUUGCAUCUACUGUGCGGUGGUAGGGCGGUGGUGGUGGUCGUGGUGGCAGGAGGUCUGUGUGUGUGGUGGUAGGGGGUUAAUCUGGUGGUUAUUUUUUGGAAAAAAAAUUUAAUCGAUCUACUGUGAGCGCCGAGCGAUCGACGACGGUGGUGGUGUUUGUGGCCGAGUUUUGUGUGUGGGAUGCCGUGGGUGACGUAAUCUGAUGGUCAAUGUGGUUUUGGGCGGCUAGUGGUGGUGGAGGUGGCGGAUCUGUGGUGUAUUGGUGCUAAUUUGUGUGAGUUCUGUGUACGGGUGCUGAUUGUGUGUGGUGGUUGUGGUUCAUUGGAGUAGUGGUGAUGGUGACAGAGAUGGCGAGGUGCGGGUGGUGGUUCAUCGGGGUAGUGGUGGUGCUUGUCGCCGUUGGUGCGCUGCUCUAAUUUAUGGUCUGGAUAUGAUUUUGUUGGUGUUGGUCGAUGGUGGAUGUGGCAGUGUGCAGUGGUUUAUGGAUGGUUUGUGGUUCUAGUAAGUAGCAACAGAUGGUGGAUGUUUUGGUGACGACAUUGGUGACAGUGGUGGUUCGUCGAUGAUGGUUGUGGAAGCGAUGGUCACAAAUGUUGGUUACAGUUAUUUGGUUGUCUUUGGUGGCGGUGGUGUGGUGGUUUUUGGCGGCGGCGGUUGUUGGUUUUCAGAGUUUGGUGUGUGGUGGCGGUGUGGUUACUGUGACAGUGACUUUGCGUUGAUAUGGUGGUGGUUUUGCAGUCUGGUGGUGAGAUGAUGAUGGUGGUGGUCGGGGUGUGGUGGUCAGAUGGGACGUGGGGUGUUUGUGACCAAUAAAUUGGUUAAUCGGUGUCCAACAAAUAAUAUGUGACUUUAAAAAAUGUAAUUGUAACCCAUAAUUUAUUAAAUUGUGACUGUAAAAUUAAUUAUGAUCAAUAAAAUUUUGUUUUUGUGACUAAUUAAUGAAUUGUGAGUUAUGAAAUUUUUGAUUUGUGACAGAUAAAUGAGUUGUGACCACUAAAUUUUUUUUUUUUGUGACUGAUCAAUUAAUUGUGACUUAUGAAAUUUUUGAUUUGUGAUCGACAAAUGAGUUGUGAUUAAUAAAAAUUUUGAUUUUGUGAUCGACUAACGAAUUGUGACCUAUGAAAUUUUUGGUCCGUGACCGACAAAUAAUUUGUGACCUAUAGAAUUUUCAAUUUGUGACUUAAAAUCAAUUAUUUGAUUGAUUGUGACUAUUAAAUUGAUUAACUCGUGACUAAUAAACAAUAUGUGACCACCAAAAAGAUAAAUUGUGACCAAGAAUAAUGUGUGAUCUAAAAAAUAAUAAUUCAUGACCUAUAAUAGUUGUGAUCUAUGACUUGUAAAUAACUUGUAACGUAUAAAUUUUUUAUCUGUGACAAACAAAUCGUGACUUACAAAAUUUUGAAUUGUGAUCAUAAACAGAAUUUGUGACCUUAAAUUUUUUGAUUUGUGACCGAUGAACAAACUGUGACUUAAAAUUUUUUUGAAUUGUGAUUGUAAAAUAAUUUGUGACAUAAAAUUUUUUAUUUGUGACCAAAAAAUAAUAAUUUAUUAAUUAAAUUGUUAAUUUGUGACCAAAUUGUAUAAAUAUGUGGCUUAAAUAUAUUUACUUUAUAAAAUAAUUAAUUAAUUAAUUUAAUAAUAAAUAAAUUUUAAUAAAAAUCUGAUUUUUGAAGUUUGAAACUUAUUUUCUUAAUUUUGAAAUAUGUCAUACUUAGAACCUGUUUGGCCCCCAUUACGGGGAAAAUUUAAUGUAUAGAAUAGUGUUUUUUGAAAAAUGGGUGGUUGAAAAAGAAAGAAAAUUUUUCGAUUUACGUGUAAUAUUAUUUUAUGGAAGAUUAUGUGGUUGAAAAUAGGAGAGAGAAAAGUAGAAUGUAAUGUAAUGUAAUUUAAUCUCUCACUUAUAAAAUUUUCCCUUCUUAUAUUGGACAUAAUAGCAAAGGGCCCAAUCAAAGCCCAUUGGAUCGAAUGAGUUUGCAUGAAAAUUAGAAUUGGGUCACAGAGUACCGAUCCAAUAGUAAAGUUGUCAAAAUGAAGAUGUUGAAUUACUUUGAAGAAAAAUUUAAUCAUGAUGUAGGAUGUUUCGAACCUUGGUCUCUGCCUCUAUGGUGGAAAUAUCACUUGAAACCACUAGUUCACUGAUAACUUUAAACUUAAGAUUAAGUAAUGACCUACCACUUCAAUGAGUGAUCCAGUGGUUGAAUCAAUGACAAGAUGACUUAAAGAUUUUCGGAUCAACAUCCACAUUGAAUUCGAUAACUAUGCCUAAAACUAUAUUUGUUUUGAAAUUUUGGUUAUAUAUAAAGUCAUAAUCAAUCAAAUUAAUAACUUCAUGAGUUACAAACAUUUUGUUUUAGCCAAUCAUAGGAGGGAAUUGCUGGAAUAAAGUUUAAAUAGAAUUGAAUUGUAUUUUCUUCACUUAAAUUUUACCUAUUUUAAAGCGAAUCGUUAAUUUUAAUCAUAUAUUUUUGUAGGAUUCAAAAAUAUUACUCACUUAUUAUCAUUCAUUUCUUGAAAAGUAGAAUUUAAGGAGAAAAAUAUGAAAUACAAACAAAGACUUGUUGAUUAGAAAUUAAUUUUUGAAAUCACAUCAUAGUAUUGAAAAGUUUAAUUGUACCCUUGAAACGCAGCCCAAAAAUUCAAUGGAAUGAUCGAGUAAUUGAUGUGGAUUAAUCUCAACAAAUGACGCUAACCCUCGACAGUCUUCGAAAUGAAAAGCCACAAACUAAAAAUUAACGGGUCAUUAGCAAAAUAUGAAUAAAUAAAUAAAUAAAUAAUCCAUCUAUCAGAAUAAUUAAAAACAAAAAUUAUAUACUCAAAUUCAUGGAAUUGAUGUCCUAAGCAUUGAUGCUGUUAUGCCUGAUGUCUAAGGCUCUUACUAAAGGCCAUGUCAAUACCAUGUGGAGGUACUACAUAUGGACAACUUGCAGUCAACAAGAUCAAAAAUAAAGAAAGGAAACAAGUUGCUCUUUGGCCGAAGUACUAUCUUCGUCUGAAGCUCCUUGGACCGAAGCACUCCCUCUUCUGACCGAGCUGCAACACAUUCAAAGCUCUCUCUCUCUCAAAGCCAAAGAAGCUGUCGUCUUUAUAGCAAGUCCAAAGAAUAUCUUUAGGGAUAAUUGAUUUAACGUUUGUAUUAAUGAAUGUUAGAAAUGUCAGUAUAAGGUGUAGGACGGUUGAUCCCUUGUCACUGUAAUUAGGGGUGGGCAAAAACCGACUGAACCCGCCAAAAUCACCCAACCCGAACCAACCCGACUGGGUUGGGUCAGUUUUUUAGUUGUUUUUAAUUGGGUUCGAUUUUUUGGUUGUGUAGGUGGGUCGGGUUGUGGGUUAGCCCUUAAAAACCGAAUAAAUCCGCCCAACCCAACCCGCCUACUUUAAAAAAUAUUAAAAAAGAAAACAAAAAACUAAAGAAAUAAAAAUGACCUACUAACUAUCAUUCCUCAGUCCUCAAUCGAAGAAAGCCCUAAAAUCUCUGUGUUUCCCUCUCUUUUGCUCUUGCCCUCGCUCAAAUCACCGACAUCACCCCUAUCGGUAACUGGACUCCAGCACUAGAAAACCAACAAGCCAGGUAUAUUAUUUUUCAUUCUUCGUUUUUCAAGUUCUGUAAAUCAUAAUCUGAUGAGUUUUUUCUCAUCUUUUGAACCCUAUCAAGAGUACUAUAAUUCACUGGGGAUAUCUCCUUCUUUGGCUUUGUUUGGUGAAAAUGCAUUCUUAGAUUUUGGGUACAAGGCUGCACCAAAUAGAGGCCGUGAUUCUGAGUGGCGUAAAAUUUCUCAUAUUUGUGAUGUUCAUGGAGACUGAUUUAAUUUUAAUUUGCCUCCAUUUUUUGUGUUUUCUCGUGUAAGUAUCUCCAUUUUCAUUAAAUUCUAAUUAUUAUUCAUGAUUUUCCUUUUCCAAUCAUUCACCCUUAUUUAUGCAGGUCACAUUUUUAACCGGUUGCAUAUUAUGCUAAUAUGGAGCCCCCUCGCAUGUGCCGGUAUGUAUCAACUGAGAAUCCCUCUCAAUAAUCAUUUCUUUUAAUUCUUAGUGCUAUAAUUUUGAAUACAAUUCCCUGUAUAGCUAGUACUCUUUUUUGCUAUUUAAAAUAUAACGUAUAAUUUUAUUAUUAUUUUUUAUCUAAAUUGUUCAUAUUCAUAAUAACUUGUCCUCGUGUCUUUAAUGAAAUACUUGUUAGCCUUGUACUGUAUUGAACACUGUUGUAGAGUGUAAACACUCGGAAUGGUAACUUGGAGAUUUUCGUAUCUUUUUAGUACCAUACAUUUCUAGAGUUCAAAAAUCGAUUUCUAAAGUUUAAAAUAGAGAUUCAAAAGUCUGAAAUCCAUUUUAGAAGUUCAAAUAUCUGAGGAGUAAAUCUAGAACUCAGAGACGGAUUCUCUCUCAAUGAGGGACUACAGCAAGCUGGUAACACUCACAGUUGAUGACAGAAGUUUUGGUAUCAUCUUUUAAGGUGAAUCGCAUAAGUGUGUAGUAGUUAUGGAUCCUAAAAAUAACAUUAAAUGGCGUUCUCUGUCUCAUAGUUUGCAUAGUAAUACAGAACUUAUAAUUAACUUAACAUACACAAACCAAUUAUUUGUUUAUCUAUUUUGUUUAUGUUUCUGUUUUCCGUUUGAAUUCCUCUGCUAAGCUUCUAAAAACAUUUCUCCCUUCAACAUCAAUGGUUGGUCAUGAUUGGCAGCUACAGAUAAUUUCAAGGACGAUCCUGUUUGUCUUCACACAGAGUGACCUUUGGUGAUAGAUUAUGCUUAGGAAAUGGACACAGACAUAGGUGUUGUAUUAUUUCUUUAUUGUGUUGCAUUGUUAUUUUUAUUAAAUACAUCUAUUUGGUUGUUUUAUAAUUUUGGUGGAAUAUGUUUGUAGAUAUGGAUGAUUGUGAAGUACUUGGUACAGAAUCUUUAUCAAAUGACAUAGAUUUGCAAGCAAGUCUUCCUCCACGUGUACCGUCAACAUUAGGUAAACGAAAAUCUAAUAGAUUAGCUUCAUAUAUUUGGGAUCACUUUACGCUUUUGGGAUCAAGGGAUGAUCCAAAUGUUAGGUGUAAAUGUAACUACUGUGGGGUAGAUUAUGCUUGUGGCACUAAGAAGUGUGGUACUAGCACAUUGGGUAAUCAUUUGACAAAUCAAUGUAAGAAGUAUCCUAGUCGAUUGGUGGAUAAGAAGCAAAAAAUCCUUUCUUUUGAGAAUAAAAAAGAGGGUGGCAGGAGCAAUCUUGUUGCUAUUGGUCGAAGUAAAGAAGAGUGUAGAUUUGCAUGUGCUAAGAUGGUUGUAUUGGAUGAAUUACCUUUUAGGUUUGUUGAAGGUCAGGGUUUUCAGCUCUUUUGUAGUGUAGCAUGUCCUCAAUUUAAGGCUCCACCUCGUAGGACUCUUGUUAGAGACAUCUAUUAAUUGUAUUUAGAUGAAAAACUGAAAUUGAGAGAUGUCUUCUCUUUUCACCGUCAAAGGGUUUCCCUCACAACUGAUACUUGGACUUCCAUUCAAAAUGUUAAUUACAUGUCUCUCACAGCACAUUUUAUUGAUUUUGAUUGGACACUUAAUAACUGUAUUUUAAAUUUUUGUGUUGUUCCAAAUCACAAAGGAGAAACGAUUGGGAAAAUGAUUGAGACUUGUUUACAAGAUUGGGGAAUUGAGAAAGUUUUUACAAUCACUGUUGAUAAUGCAAGCUCUAAUGAUGUGGCUAUUGCUUAUCUUAGGAGGAAGUUGAUUGCUUGGGGUAGUGAUGGAUGUGUUCUAGAUGGAAGAUAUUUGCACUUGAGGUGUUGUGCACAUAUUAUAAACUUGAUUGUUUGUGAGGGGUUGAGGGAAGUACAUGACUCCAUUGUAAAUAUCCGCAAUGCAAUCAAAUAUGUGAAAUCUUCUCCUGCUAGGUAUGAAAAACUGAAGGAGUGUGCGAGAAAAGAGAAGAUCGAUUGCAAGUCUAUUGUAUUUUUGGAUGUUCCAACUAGGUGGAAUUCAACCUAUUUGAUGUUGGAAACGGCAUUAAAAUUUGAGAAAGCUUUUGAUAGGUUAGAAGAAGAGGAUGCUCAAUAUUUGCAUUACUUUCGGGAAGACGAUGGUUGUAAAAAGAGAGGUGGACCUCCUUCAAAUUUAGAUUGGAAAAAUGGACCUGUAUUUUUCAAGUUUCUUAAAAAAAAAUUUGAUGUGACUUUGACUUUUAGUUCUUCAUUGCAUGUUAGUGCUUGUGCUUAUCUCCAUGAAAUUUGUAAUAUUGUAUUCGAAUUGGAUGAAUGGAGAUUGAGUGGUAAUUUUUUAUUGGGUGAAAUGGCGACUAACAUGAAGAAGAAGUUCAAAAAGUAUUGGGGUAAAAUGGAAAAUGUGAAUCAGUUGUUGCUUAUUACUACUAUCCUUGAUCCAAGAUAUAAAAUGAAUUAUGUUGAAUACUGUUUUAGUGAUCUAUACAUGGAUGGGGAAGUUGUUAGUAACAUGAUGAAAUCUUUGAAAGAAAAUUUCAUGGAUAUUUAUGAGUGGUAUGUGGCAUGUGAAGGUGUUCAUGGAAGUAGUCAAGUAUCAACUGACGAGACUUUGAGUUCUUUCGGUACAAAUAAAGACAGUUCUUCUUCUAUGAGUGAUGCUCGUCUUUCUAGAUUUUUGAAAAAAUAAGCUGUAAAAGAUUAUGUUGAAAUAAAAAAUGAUGUGGAAAGAUACUUACUUGAUGCUCGUGAAAGCAUAGAGAACAAGGACUUUGAUGUUCUCGAUUGGUGGAAGCUUAACAAAAGUAAGUACGGUGUCUUGUCUAAUCUUGCUAAGGAUGUCUUGGCAAUUCAAGUUUCAACAGUUGCUUCAGAAAGUGCUUUUAGUAUCGGAUGAAGGAUACUUGAUCCUUUUCGUAGUUCAUUGAGUCCUAAAAUGGUGGAAGUCUUGGUAUGCACACAAAAUUGGUUGAAAGCUUCUCCACAGUUAGAUGGUUUCCACAUGGAAGAUGUUGAGCAUUACAACCAAUUAGAUGAAGGUAAUAUGUAUUUUUUUCAUAAAUUUUGUUAUUUUGACUUUAUAUAUAUGUAUUUUGUUGCCAACUGAAUCAACUUUUUUUUUUUUGUAGAAUUGGAAUCGGUGAAUUCAAAAUUAAAUGAAGAUGAUCGAGGUCACAAGAAUUAAUUUGUUUCAUGUCUAGUUUUUGUUUGUGCCAAUUGUCAAUAGUUAUUGGAUAAUUAUUUUGUUUGUGUCAAGUGUCAAUGGUUAUUUGAUGGCUGAUUUUUGUUUUGUGGCACAAGAAUUAUUUUGUGUUGGUGGCUGAUUUUUUUUCUAGCAAAUUUUUGUUUGUGCCAAUAGUUUUUUGCCUCGGAACUAUAGCUUUGUAAUUAGAUAUGUAAUUGUUAUUGGAUAGUUAUUUCAUGUGUAUUUGGUGGAUUAUACCAUUAUAUGUUUUAAGUUUAUUGAUGUUGGAAGACUAUAUAAAUGUUGUUUUAAAUUUAGUAUUUUGACGACUUUAAUAUUUGUUGAUAGGUUUUCCCAACCCGACCGACAUUGGGUUGGGUUGUGUUAGGUUUCAAUCUUUACAUGGGUUGGGUUGGGUUGAACAUUACUAAAACCGACCACGUUGGGUUGGGUUUGGGUUGACGUAAAAAUCGAUCCAACCCAACCCACGCCCACCCCUAACUGUAAUUAAUAUAUUGCAAAAAGUGAUGAUGCUCCGGUUGUUGUGAUGAGAGCACGUGGUUUUGAUCCAAUGGUGACCAUGUCAACCCCAGCUAUAUAAAUAGCAGCUUUUGUAACCUGUAAUGGGAUUGGAAAAAAUGUAGGCAAGGUCACGUAUUUGAAUUCCCAUAAAAAAAAAACCCCUUUGUUGUUCAUUUCACAUUGAUAUGAAUUCAAAUCAUCUCUAGCUUCAAGGAGAGUCUUUGAUUGCUCAUUUUUCAAUUGUUCUCAAUCAUACCAUUGGUGCUCGAAUGUGUUUAUCUCGUGUUAUAGAGCAUCUCACAUGUCCGAUUGACCUUACGAUCAACUAUUCUGAUCGAAACAUGCCGAAAUUUGCUUGCAACACACGAGUGAACCCAACAUCUGUUGGCCAUGUCGUCAUCGCAAAAAGGGGUUAAAAGUACCUUGAAUGAUUCUUCAUAACUUAUAUUUUCAAAUUCCAAUUUUUAUAUAAAUAUAUGCAAUUAGACUUGGGAGACCAUUGUUGUAGGUUAAAAGUAACUACCCCUAAAAAAAAUAUGGUACUAAUACAUCGCAAAAGUCCAUGUAUUACAUAAAUGAUCAUACAUCAAUUUGGGGGACUAUUGUUACUCUCAAGUUCGAGGCCCUUACUGAAGGCCACGUCAAUGCCACAUGGAGGUACUACAUACAGAUAGCCGAUAAUCAACAAGAUCAAAAAUAAAAGAAAGGAAACAAGCUGCUCUUUGAUCGAAGUAUUAUCUUCAUCCAAAGCACUCCCUCUUCUAUCUGAACCGCAACACAUCCAAAACUCUCUUUCAAAGCCAAAGCACCUACCGCCUUUAAAGCAAGUCUAAAGAAUAUCUCUAGAAAUAAUUGAUGUAACUUUUGUAUUAAUGAUUGUCAGAAACGUCACUAUAGGGUAUAGAGUGGAUGACCCCUUAUCAGUGUAAUUAAUGUAUUUCAGAGAGUGAUGUGUGGCUUAGGUUGCUGAAAUGAGGCUACGUGAUUCUGAUUCAACGAUAACCACGUUGACCCCAACUCUAUAAAUAGUAGCUUUUGUGUCCUAUAAUGGGAUUGAAAAAAAAUAUGUAAGAUCGCACAUUUGGAUUCCCAUAAAAAUCCUAUUUCUUGUUCAUUCCACAUUAAUAUGAGUUCAAAUCACCUUCAACUUUGGGGAGAGUUUGUGAUUGCUCAUUUCCAAUUGUUCUCAAUCAUACCAACAGUACUCGAACAUGUUCAUUUUGUGUUGUAGAGCAUUUCCCAUGUUCGAUUGAACUUAUGAUCGGCUAUUCCGAUCGAAGCGGGUCUAAAUUUGCUCGCGCAAAUAUGAGUGGGCCCGACAUAUGUUGGCUAUGUUGUCAUCGCAAAAAAGGAUUGACAAAUGCACUCAGAUGACAUGACACAUUACAAUAAAUGAUGAUAUCCUAAACACCAAUGCUUAGGAGAUCAGUCCUACUCGAACUCAUAUUUCAAUUUCUAUUUUUUUACGUAAUUUCAAUUAGAGCCUGUUUGGGAGUGAUUUUGAGAAUUGAUAUUUUGACGGUUAGGAGAAAAGUGGGGUCCACCUGUGAGAGAAGAAGUCAAAUAUGAUGACUGGAAUAGUGAAAUAACCGUCAAAAAAUCAAUUUUUUGGGACAAAAAUCGCUCCCAAACAAGCUGUUAAUAAGAAGUAAUUUAAUUAAGAUAUCCGUAUUGGUUUGAUACUGGUGAAGCCGUAUAAAUUGAAUUUUUUCGAGUAAUUGUAUUGGAUAAAAUUCAAUUGACAUUUUCGUUUUUUAGCGGUUGUACCUAUUAUAUUCAUUUGAUUGAUUUUCUAGCAUCUCUACAAAAAAAAUUGAACAUUAGGCUCCCGUUUGAGCCCCAUUUUCUAAAAAUUUGUUUUUGCUUCAAAUUUAUUUUCGAUCACUCAUUUUUUUAAAUAAUUUUACAGAUAAAUUCAGAAUAAUUUCUGACUUUUUAAUUACACAGUCUUUCGAAAAAAUCAUGAUUACAAAAUCUAUUUCUCCCAAUAAUAAAGACAUUUAUUUUUAUUCUAGUUUCUGCAUAAUACUAUUUUUGUUAAUUUUGUGAUAUAAAUAUAGAAUAAUAUAUAUAUAUAUAUUAGAAAUUUAUAAGUAAAAGGGGUUAGCUGGAGUUUCGUAUAUAUAUAUAUAUAUAUAUAUAUAUAUAUAUAUAUAUAUUAGAAAUUUAUAAGUAAAAGGGGUUAGCUGGAGUUUCGCCCCUAGAAAAAAUUGGCGGCAACCUCGAUUGACAAGGAAAAAGUUGUAAUUACCAUAUCUCAAAAUUACAUUUUCAAAAAUAUCAAAUUUUGAGAAAAUUUUCAUAAUCCACGUCAUAAUUCACAGUUUUUGAAUAAAAAUAGAUAAUAAUUGAUUUUAUAAAACAAUUAUGUGAUCUGAAUAGGUAGUUAUUAACGGAUAAUUGAGAUUUAUCUCUCUAAUCAUAUUCAUUUUCUUAAGAACAAUAAUGCAGUCUCCACCAUUUUUGGGUGUCUAUAAAUAAAUAAAGAAAUAAAUCAUGGCUUCAUGGCUUUAUAAUUUCCUCUACAUGUUCUUCGGUCACAACCAUCAUUCGACAUGUCAAAUGGAAAAUUAUUCAACUUCUGUAAAAAUGGAGUUUUGAUGGAUGUACAUAACUAUUUCAACGGAAGUUUUCCAGAUCCCUCAGAUGAGGUGGGUCCCACCUCAUUAAAAAAUGACCCCAAAAAUUCCUACCCGACCCAUGUUUGUGUGUAUUCUGUAGGGGUCAUGGCUCGUAAAAAUUAGUAGACUGCGUAUCACAGUAGGGAUUUGUUUGGAAUUCAUAAGGUAUGUUUGCAUCGUUUAUUUGAAUACUUGGCUAUCAAAAAGAUAUGAAUGCAAUCCUUGCAAUUGUGACUGUGUGUGUGUGUGUAUAUAUAUAUAUAUGCAUUGUUUGUUGUUGAGGUAUGAAGUUUGUAAUAAUAAGUAUAUGUGACCAUCGAUUUUUAAGCACGUACAUAAUUCAUACUCAUAUGAUUGUGACAUUGUGUUUAUUUGACAAUUGCUCUUACACAACAACCAGUUUACACGUAAAGAAAUUGGCUUUCAAAAUUUGUACAAAAGACACUUGGUAGAAACUUUGUCGAAUAAUGGCACCUACAUUUGGUGCAAUUCUGUGAAGUAUUCUUCAAUACAAGCAGAUUAAAUCCUUACACAAUGAUAUUAUUGUUUUUUUUUUUUUUUAUUGUGAUGCACUAAAAUUGUGGCUUGAUAUGUGCGACUUAAUAUUAAUAUAAAUCAAUUGUCAUAUGCGUGUGACCUAUGUUAGUUUUGUGUAAUUUAAAUUUCAAAAAUCUGUAAGUUGAUCGAAUUUUAAAUCUUGUUUAAAUUAGUAAGAUAAUUGAAUGUUGUGUAAUUUGACUUUAAAAAAAUGAAAAUAGAUAUACAUUACCACAAUUAACGAGAUUCGAGACUAAAUAAAAAGGGUAAUUAUAUUACCAUUACAAAAAUUGUUAGUUACACCACAAUUUUUUUAUUUACUUAAAUAACUUUAAAUAAAAUUACAUAAGUGGAUUUUUAUUAUAUUUAUCACAUAAAAUAAUUUAUUCUUCCACCACAAUCAUGAAACCUUUAAAAAUUUAUCUUCCUCCCCAAUCCCUCCUCCAACCCUCACUCUCAAAACUUCAUCUUUCAAUUAAGUUUGGCCAUUAAAAAAAUUAAAUCUCUCUCAUCGAAAUUAAAUUAAUUCCAUGGAAGAAUAACGAUUAAAAAAUUAUGUUUCAAUGGUGAAAUUGAUAGAAUGUAUUCUCAUUCACAACCCUGGCAACAUAAAUUUUUGAACAAAACGUAAAAGUCAUGUCAGAAUUUUUUUCAUAAAGAUCCAUACAAAAAAAUGGAUCUUCUGGUACCACAUGAAUUAGCUAAAAUCAUAUCAAUAUACCUCCAUGAGAGAUAGAAAGACGUUCCAACAAAACAAAAAGAAAAGAAAAAGAAAUGGAUGAAGAAUUGGGAAAAACUCCCAGUAAUUUCCAUAAUUUCAGCACCCUUAAACUGCCAUCUAGGCAAGGGUAACGGAUAUAAAAGGAACAUGGGAUUGGAGGAUGUCAAAGUGGAGAAGCAAGAGAAUGGGGGUAUUGAUUCACAUGUGAGAAGAUUUUCAAGGGCUUUAGAUUUUGCACAACCAAGAGGAUGAGUGAUCUGUGUAAUGGCUUUAAAUUUUCAAUGUUUUAUUAAAUCAUUUUGUAGUAUCAGGAGAUUUUACGAAAAUUCUAUGUGGGUAAGUUUUGUUUUUAUUCUGGAGUUUUCAUUGAGAUUAUGACAUGCUACUUCAUUAUGUUUUGAAAUAUUAUUUUGGUUUAUUCAAAUACACACACGCAUACACACACACACACACACCACAAUAUUGUAUUAUUUUUUUUAUUGAAUUAGGAGUAUAAUUGCAAAUUUAUUGUGGUGUAUUUAUUAAAAAUAUAUUUUAAUUGUGGUGUGAUUAUAAUGUGGUGCAGUAAUUAAAAAUUGUAGUGAUAAUAUAAUUAUCCAAAUAAAAAUACCAGCUCUGUAAUAAUUUUUGAUAAUGAAAACUGAAAAACAUGAUUUCCUUUAAUUUUUCCAGUUGACAAACAUGAAAAUAGUUCGAUUAUCUCAUCAUACAUGGACAUCUGUACGAGGCAUGAUUCUGGACGGUCAAUUUUUGUAGUAAACACAAAAGAAUAAUUGACAUAAAUAGCACUAAAUUAGUCACCUUGAUAAUAGUCAAUGAACAAUACUUGCACUCGACAAUUUAUUGAAUAAACGAAAAACGAAGUAUUUCUUUACAAACAGUUAUAGAGUGUAGUUAGAGUUGAGAUUUGCACACAAAUUAAAAGAUUAAUAAGUAAUUAGGUUGAAUGGAAUAAUUAAAUUUUAUAACGUAUAGCUCAAAAUGAGAGCACACAUUCUCUAUCGAUAGAUUAUCCUAAUAAAGGAAAAAAGGAACUUAACGACGGACACCUAACAAAGAUUGAACAACUCAUCUCAGCUAGAAAAUAAAAUAUUAGAGAAAUUUGUCAACCAGAUCAAAACCAAAGUAAAGCACAUGACAUAAGCAAGCAAAUAAUCCCUUACUCCUAUUCAGGCUUUUACGUUCGUUCCCUAAACUUGUGGUAGCAUGUUUUUUAACUUCCCUCAAAAGUAAUCCAUGCCUUCUCUUAGGUUUGUGUUGCCCUCGUAUAUGUAGGCUGGAACGAGUGACUACCUUAUUUAUAUAGGAUAAAUUCGUUUGGUGUUUCCAACUAAUGACAUUAAUUAAGUACUUCCAGCCAUAGUGAUCCUAAACCAACUUUUGUCAUGUCACUUUCAUAGAGCACAUUCUCAACAUAUUUGAAUUGAAUGCCUUAAAAAAUAAUGGAUGUAAACAAUUAGCUUGGUCUCUUGUCAAUCCUAGAUAGUACCUGCAGUCUCGGUUGAUGAUGGGAGUGUGUUGAAUGUUUGCACGUUGAGCAGUGUAAAGAGAAAGAUGAUGAUGGUUCGAGCAUCCAGAAAAGGUUUUCCUUCUUCUUUUGACGGAAUUGAUAGAGUUUCGGUACCUAGAUGAUAUAGCACUCUUCUUGCUUUUGUUUAAACGAUGUGACUCAGUGAUUAUUUUGUUUGGAUGUACCUUCAUACAAAUCAUUCCUUCCCCCAAUAGGUCAAGCUAUUUAACCCUCUCCCUUUGGUCGAGCUUCAUCUUCUAAUCUACUUGUGGCCCUACUAACAACUCUUCUAUUUGAUUCUAUUUUCGGUGUAUCAGGGAUAGAGACCUAAUCGUUUCUUUAUUUAAUAUAAGUUUUUAUUAUAAUGAUCUCUUUUUUAAGAUGCAUUUUGAGAUUUUGAAGACAAAAGGAAAGAAUUAUUUCAGCAAAAAUGCUAUUGAUUCUAGGAAGAUUAUGAUAAGGACAACAGAGCACUUGCCAACCGUCAAUUCUUUAGUUUUGGUCUAAACACAAUGGCUAUUUCAACCCAUUCAUAGGACUGGUUUCCAAUUCACCCUUGACUUUUUGUAGAGGCUCAAUUGUGGAGCCCGACAUUGAUAGCAUUACUAUCGUCAAGAACCCGACCUCGGGCUUUGAGGACACCAUUUCAAUGGUGAAAGCAUGCAUCGGGGAGUUGCUAGAACAACCUUGUGGCUUUCUCAAGGUUUAUUUGAAAAAUAGUUGAAACAUAAUGAACAUGAGAUGAAUUGAUUCAAGUAAAUCAAAUGUUACAAAAGAAAUUUAUCAAUUUUUCUUGUGCAGAUUAUGGUGACACUAAACUAAAGAAAUCAUAAAAUGAAUUCUUGAUCCAGAAUAAUUCUCCAAUGCUCGUAGGCUUCAAUUUUUCCACACAAGUAUUUGCCAUGUAUUUAUUCCUCCUAUUUGUAACUCCACUUGAAAAAUUGGAGCUUUUAUGUAAAGCUAAGCUCGAUAUCCGGAACUAAUCUAGAGUGCCUUCUCAAAUAAUGAAAGAUAAGUGUUUCUUCUCGUGGCUCACAACAAAAUAGUAUUUUACUUCUACGUGUCUAGUCAACUGCUACACUUCAAGGUAUUUCAGGGAUAACCAACCUUUCUCUAGGUUCAACGUGGCAUUUUCAGAGCCAAAUCUAGUCACAAAAAAGAAAAGGAACAGAGAUUGAAUGCAGUCGCCAUAUAUUUUUGUAACGGGAAUACUGGCAUUGACAAUCAUGUCGCCCUAGUCUAUCUAUAAUUGGGGGAGGGGAUUGAGGGAAGAAGAGCAAUUGAUUCUAUAUCUCAGGCAUAGGCGAUCUGUGAGCAUCACCUUGUUGCUCCUCUCACUGCGGCGGCUGAGGAUGUAACAAGUUUGGAUAGAUACUUCUCAAGAUAAUUAGUUAGCCAAGCUAAUAUAUCUACAAAACAUUAUUUGAUAUUUUUAGUUAUCGUUGAGAUGAUGAAGUUCGAAAUUAUGUAGAUUUGUAAGAAAUAAUCUUCAUGCUAGUCAACAAGCUUGGUCAAUAAUUGGUAUUUCAUUUUAAAAGGUUAACCUUAUUAAGAGAAGUGGUUCAAACCCUUAAAAGAUAGCCUAUGUUUUUAUCUUUAUUCAAUAUGAGAUUUCAUUUCUUAAUAUGCCCCCCUCAAGGAGAGAAACUUGGGUGGAACGGUCGCAUCAUCCACGUGGUGCGUCGCCCAACCCAAGGCGCCACCUCUGCGGAUGGCCCACACACCUCGGGGGUGUGCGGUGGCCCACUCACUGAGGUGGCGCACAUUGAUAGGGCGGUUGCACCGUGCGCCAUACCUAAGUUUUUCCCCCCCAAGAUGGUGGUUCAUUUUUUAGCAAAUCAAUUUUGAAAUUUGCAAGCUCGUUUUUUGAGUUUUAAUCGAAAUAGUUGCUCAUUCAAUUUUAAUGUGUUUUAAUGUGAUGUUAAAAUUUGUGAUUCUAUUUUAAGAGGUCAGCCUUAUUAAGAAGAGCAGCCCAAUUCAUUAAAAGUUGGUCUACAUUUUCUUUUUUAUUAGAUGCACCAAAAAUUGAUGACUCGUUUUUUAGUAAACCAAUCUUGAAAUUUGCAUACUCAUUUUUCUGAGUUUUAAUAGGAUUGAAUCGCUCGGUAGAACUUAAUGGCUUUGAAACCAUGUUAAAACUUGAGUUUCAUUUUGAAAUAUUAACCUUGUUACGAGGAGUAGCCCUAUUCUUAUAAGUUGGUCUAUAUUUUUAUCUUUAUUCGAUGUGAGAUUUUAUUUUUUAACAUAUUUCACUUAUCUACAAUUUUUAGUUAUACUUCAUUUAAAACUUUGGUGGAUUCACAAUCUACUAACUUAAUACCUUUAGCCACAUUCGUCCCUACUAGAUUUAUUUAUUUUAAGAAAAAAAUAAACUCCAUAUACAGUGCUGUAAGUCUAGGCCUAAAUCCAAAAUCUGCAAUGCUAUAGUCGUUGUCAUCAACACAAUAGGUCUAACAAAAUUAGAUUUUUGUUGAUUGUUAAACUAUAAACAAUCAAGAUUCUUGCUCAAAGUCGAGAAUAUUUGUCGGUCAUUAUAAAUAUAUCAAUUGUACUUAAGUAUCAAUUGUACUUAAGAACUUAAUUCAUAUUGGCUAUUGAACUUUUGGAACACCACAAACCUAAGGAACGAGAUUAACAAUGCUUGAAAAUAUCAACUUCAAUCAAUAUUUGGCCUUGAAUCGUGUUUUUAAUAGUCUAUACGAAAACAGUAGAUUCAUUAGGAAAACUUUGGGUACAUAAAUUGUGUAUUCUUAACCAGUGGCGGAGCCAGCACUCGACAAGGAAGUGCUGCCCACGUGUUGGUUUCGCCGGAAAUUACAGGGGCGGUGCACUUGAUCUUUCAUAUGUGAUCUCCGGCAGGUAGAGAUUUGGGGAAGAUGAAGUCUUGGGCCAUUUUUCUUUUGAUUGAGAAUGGGCUUUUUUUGUUUUGGAAAAAUGGGCCUUUUAUCUAAAAUUGUGGCCCAUUAGUAGAAGAUAAACCAUACUUAAAUAAUUGCCCAAAAUCACAACAAAUACAUCCAUUGCCCAAAGUCAGAAAAAAAUGUCACGACAUUUCAAUAUUUCACUUUAAAAAAUCCCAACCCGAGACUCAGACACCAGGUAAUUCGAAAUCCUAUUCUUCUACCUAGACUUUGACUCGGCGGUUCCCAAUUUUUCCCACCCUCUGUCGCCACUCACCACUCAGUUUCAGUGACGAACGCACUGCGCACACCGCCUCUCUGUCGAUAAUUUUUUUGCAUUGUAUUCAUCUUCUUAUAUCUUAAAUUAUUAAAAAAUUGUAUCUUUUGUACUUUAGAGUUUGUGAAGAGAUUGAUUUUAGUUAUAAUAUGAUUUAUAUAAUCAAGAAAAUUAGAUUAUUUGCAAUUGGACUACUUGACUGGAGGGAAUUUGUGUACUAAAUAACAUUAUGAAUUUUUUUCUUUUUUUAUUAUUUUGGGUUGUAUUAAAUUAUAUUUUUAUAUGUAUAUGAUUUUUAAGUUUUAGUCUAUUUAUAUAUAAAUUGUGAAUUUUUAAUAUUAUUUAAUUAAUCAAUAAACAAUAUUGCUAUUACGAUCGUUGAUUGUCCGUGGUUAACAGUCAACGACCAAUCUAGUUGGCCACAAUUCCUAGAUCCAACACUGCUAUUAACACUGUAAAUAUUUGUUUUAAAAAAUUUGUUUGGUGAAUAUCUUCUUGUUGUUGCUUCAACUUUUCUUAUAAAAAAAUAAAUCUAAAUUCAAAUUUAUAAUUGAUCCUCAAAUCUUAUUUUCGAUGUGGGUUGAUCAAUAAUUUUGAGUUUUAUUAUUUUAUUCAUUUCCCUACAAUUUUUAUUUCCAACGAACUCUGAGUAAAAGAGGAUUUAUUUUCAUCUAUAAAAUAUGUUUCUAUUAUUCCUCAACGUAAAAGUUAUCAAUCGUGUUUAAUUACCAUUUAAAAGUCUAAAGAAACAAAUAGUUAUUUAUUUACAUAUUAUCUUUAACAUAACUCCAUAGACUAAAGUUCAUUUAUAUAUUUCAAGAAAGGCAUGGCACAAAGAAUUUCUAUAAACAGGUAGCAGCAAGAUGACUAAACUUUAGAAGCUUACUUUUAGCACCUGUUUGUUUUUCAUUCUUUCUCCAUUAAAAUAAGAAUAAUAAUCGUUAUCCAUCACAUCAAGCUACCAUAUUUGAAUUUCUAUAUUUUGCAUGGGGCUUGUAACAGCUAUAUUUUUCAUUAUCAUUUUUACAUAAAUAAAAAACAAACAGGUCUUAAUAUUGUGUUGAAUGAGAACAUCUUAUAGAUAUUUAACUAUUUCCUACUUUUUCAAUUGAUCGUGGAACUUAAAAUUUCCGAAACUUCAACUAUAUAUUUGUUAUUACUACAACAUAUUUAAUAUUUAGCCGUUACUUGAACCCCAUUCUUUUGGAAAAAAUCAUUUUUCAACAACACAUUUUUUAAUAAAAUAAUAUUACACGUAAAUUCAAAAUUUUUCAUUAUUUUUUAACCAUACAUUUUCCAUUAAUACACUAUUCAAAAAUUCAUUCUUCCCCAAAAAAUGGGCUCAAACAAGGACUUAAUUCUAAACACAAUUAAAUAAUAUUAGAAAAUAAAAUUCUAAUGUUUUGCCCCGGUUUGAGUCCCCUUUUUUUUAAAAGGUAUUUUUUCAAAACUCAUUUUCCACUGCAAAUUUUUUAAUAAAAUAAUUUUACACAUAAAUUCAAAAUAUUUUCUUAUCUUUUAACCAUAAAUUUUUCAAAAAAUUGACAGACCCUUGAAAGGCGGCAGCGGAAGGGGGCGGAGUGGACAUUGGUGGCCCGGGAUAAAUGGCUUUACUCUUCUUUGGCUAUAGUUUCACCAGCAAGGUAAAACAGAUUUAAUGCAUGUGGCCAGCCAUUUGUCCAAAUUUUAUUAUAGGAAAAGACAUCUACAAUUAUUUUAAUUAGUUGCUUAGUGUUCAUAUGACACUUCUUUUUUUUUUUGCACUUUUAGCUCUUUUUGGUUUCAAUUUUUAAUUUUUUUUUUAAAACUUAUUUUCCAUCACACAUUUUAUUGAAUUUAUAGUUUUUAUCAACUUUUUAAUCAUUUAUUUCAUUAUCUUUUCUUGAAAUCUACUAAAAAUUUUGCCCUUGUUUGAGCUCCAUUAUUUGAUGAAGAAUGUAUUUUGAAAUAGUAAAUUAUUGAAAAAUAGUUUUACUUGGUGUACAAAAAAUGGUUCACAGAAUUUUUACAAGCUUCCACUCGACAGUUUCUCAUUCAUCCUUAGCCAAAAAUACAUAAAAGAAGCACCAUACAAGUGCUGUGUCAGCACCUAUAAGAUGCCUGUGAACAAUUCCUUGUACAAGGAUAAUUGUUCGAUCAAGAAUAUAUGGUUAAAAAAUAAAAAAAUUCUAUAUUCAACAAACAUUGUUGUCAAUAAUAAUUAGGAAAAUUUGCAGUCGAGGUACCAAACAUUUCAUUUAUUAGCAGAUUUUGUCCAAACCUUUAAUUUGUGCCACCCACAGUUUCAAACCUUUCAAAAAUAUACACCGGGGGUUCAAAUGGAUAGAAAUCGUCCGUUUGACCGUUAAUUGACUAGAAAAGUCAAAAUUUGAUCACUUUGGACCAAAUUAAAUAGGGCAAAGUGGUACUUUGCAUUUUUUCUUAAUAUUAAUAAUUAAUAAUAACAAUAGAAAAGUAAAAACAAAAUAAAUAAAAAUCAAAGAAAAGAAAGGGAAUACUGUUCAUCUUCAUCUUCACCCCACGCCACCUUGCCCCGCCCCACGCCACCCGUGUUGGCUACAGAAAGAGCUUACGGAAUGGCAGGUGAAUCCGCCAACGAGUUUCAAGCACAAAGUAACGGAUAAUUUGCAGAGGUUUUUGUUCUUUUCUUUUCUUUGCAAAGGGUUUUGUUCUUUUCUUUUUAAUUUUCUUUGAUUUGGUGUUCAGUUUAUUUGAUUGGUUGAAAAAUCGGAAAUUUGGUGUAAUUGGUGGUAAUAGAUAGGUAAUUGAAGUCAACGGUGCACCGACUUUGUACGCAGGUGAAACGUAUCAGCUAUAGGUGGAUUUUUCGGAGCAUUACCAAAUGGAAGCUCCUCAGGUGAAUAUUCAAAUGCCAACGUGGGGCAGGGCGGGACGGGGUGGGUGGGGUGAAGAUGAAGAUGAAGAUGAACAGUAUUCCCUUUCUUUUCUUUGAUUUUUAUUUAUUUUGUUUUUACUUUUCUAUUGUUAUUAUUAAUUAUUUUAAUUAUUAAUAUUAAGAAAAAAUGCAAAGUACCACUUUGCCUUUCUUAAUCUGGUCCAAAUUGGUCAAAUUUUAACUUUUCUAGUCAACUAACGGUCAAACAGAAGGUUUCCAUCCAUUUGAACCUCCGGUGCAUAUUUUUGAAAGGUUUGGAACUGUGAUUGGCACAAACUAAAAGUCUAAGCAAAGUCUGCUAAUAAACGAAAUGUUUGAUAUCUCGACUGCAAUUUUCCCUAAUAAUUAUUGAUGUUAACAUUAUCAAGUCAAGUAGAAAGCAAUCUGAAUUCUUAUGAUUAACAUUUUCAUUUAUGACAGCAAAAUCUGAAUUCAGUUAUUUUCUAAAAAGGUUGAACCUCAACCUUGAGGGCUCUCACCACCCUGCUCCUAAAGCUUUGUGAGAGAGGUAAAUCGUGGGAUGUGCCUCAACAGGCCACGGAACAAGAGCUGUAUGUACACUGCGCCUACAAGGAAUCCAAUUCCAUGUUUCAGGAAUCAAACCCCCAUACUGCGGCUGCCAGCAAGGCGUGAAAUAACCUCACUCAUGUCCUUUGCACCACUAGGCUAUGCCUCGGGGGGCAAAUUCAGUUAUUUUCUACUUUGACUCUUUGAGCACUUUAUGCGAGAGAGACUUUAAAUAAUAAUUUACGCAUCUUUGCUAUCUGACUGACAAUUUCUUGGGAUAAUUGCAUCAAAAACAUCAUAUCGUUGAAAUAUUAAUAGAUUUUUUUCAAACUUUUCCAUCAUUGCAGAUAUCAUCCUUAACCUUUUCAAUCAUUGCAUAUGAGGUCCUUUUAAACAAUUUCCGUUCACCCCCGGGCAAACAAAAUGUAUAUGUCUCAUUCAUGCUUGUCCGUUUCUGCCUACCACUUACCGACCAAGAACAAGAAGUGGUGCGUUUCAUGAAACCCAGGAACUUUGGAUUGAUCUAAAAAAAUGAUUUUGAUCACGUUUUAACUAUUUCUAUAAGGGUAAAAUAAUAAACUCAAUACAUUUCCAUAUAAAUAUAAUAAAAAUAAUUUCUUUUAAAAAAAGGAAAAGCCAAACCAAAAUGUCCCACCCAUCGCCACCCACCCAGCCCCAAGCGGCUACCAAAUUUGUGGAAAAUACCCUCACUCCGAUGGAAUCAUACUCCUCACACACUCCAAAAAAAAAAAAAGCUAGACAACUAUUUUGAAGGAAUAAAUUUGUCAAAAACAACCUCUUCACAAAUUAAGAAACCACUUCUUGUAUGCCCCUCAGGGCACAUCCCAACUGGCAAAAAUGAAGGCGCUUCAAGGUUGGCAGAUCAGAGGUCGUGAAUUCGAUUUCUGGAAGGCUCUUGGAAGACAGAUAUUCUCAUGGAAGGCAGGAUUUAUUCUGAAAGACAGGAGCUCUACUGGAAGACAAUGUGCAAAGAUGGGAAACGACUUGCUUGACACUUUGGCAGAUCAGUUGGAAGGGCUCUUGAGCACUGAUCAGUUUAUGGCACAACUUGCGAUUUAACCUGUCUGCAGGUUAAGGGGCCAAGGUGUAGACUGCAGGAUUUAGUCACUGUAAGGUGGAUACCUGGAUAUCAAAAAAAAAAAAAAAAAAAAACCACUUCUUGUGACACCACCGUUUAUCUGGCUUUAUCUACGCUUACAUUUUGAUGGAACAACAUCACAAAAAAGCCCAAAAUAUUAUUGCAAUUGUUGGGAAAACGUGCCCAUUCUACGAAAUCGUUACAAGCACUCGCACCUCCUCCAAUUGACGGGUUCCACAUUAUUUUUCCAUCCAAUUUCAAAAUAGUUUAAUGCUCAGCACUAUUAUACGGCCUAUGAUGUACAAUCAAUUGAAUGAAUUCAGCCUUCAAUUGGUUCAAUUUUGAAAUCUGCCUCAACACGCAUGGAACACAAUUCGGCCAAUUCAUCACUUUCUGCUGGGACCCACACACGAUUACCACUCCAUUGAAUUCAGAAGCAUCAAAAUACCUAUGGCAGUCCCCCGUUGACCAAUUUUGCCAGCAGUCAUGCUAUCAUAAAAUGGAAACCUCCCAGGUUGGCAUCGAUGAUUUGGGAAGGGUGGCUGUGUUUUGGUUUGGGGUGGUUUGUGGGCAGGAUGGUGGUUGCAGCUAAUGGUGAUUGCAGUUGGGCGUCAAGUGGUCAUCGGCCAACGAGGGGUGGAAAGGGUGGGACAUUUAUCUUGCGCAGCGAUCAUUUGGAUGGAAACCAUUGGAAAGAGCCUUACCUGAAAUGGUUGGAAAGGUUAAGGAGACGAUUGCAACGAUUGAAAGGUUUGGAGAAAGGUAGAUACUGUUUCAAAAGUGUGGAUUUUUGAUGCAGUUAUCCCUAAUUGCUUUUAAAACUUUAAACCCUUAAAGGUAAAAUUAAUUUUUUAGCCCCUGCUUGAUUUUGCUAAAAUAUAGAUUUUUAGUAAAUUUUGAUAAACAUUGUUGAAAAUAUGUGAUUGAAAAAUUGAUAACUAGAUUUUAUAAAAUGUGUGAUUAAUAAUACCUUUCCAUAGGAAAUAAAAACGUUAGAGAAAUAUGCCAAACAUAUCAAAAUCAAAGUAAAGCACAACAUAGACACAAGCGGAUAAUCCCUUACCUAAUCAACUAGUCAAUCUAUGUAUAAUUGUCGGGUUAUUAGGUAACAUGUAAGAGAGAGAGAGAGAGUCAAAAAUGUUCUUUGUGUAUAAUUUUGAAUAAUCUCAAACCGGAAUCCUAUAGUGGAAUCAUUGCAAAAUAAAGUUUUAACGGCUGGAAACCAAAAAAAGAUUAAGCCUUUAAGCAUGUUGAUGGUUUUCUAUAGCCCAAAUCCUUUGAUUUCGGAUUGGAAUAAGGAGUCCAGCAUUAAUACUAUUGCUUCACUCUAUGCUAUUGAAUGUAUGUUGGUGCAAGAAGGGCCGCUUGAUCACCACUCUAUUUACUUUGCAAGUAGACGAUUUUCCUUUGGUACAACCAUUGAACCUUUUUUAUCAUGAUUCGACUCAUACCGAAAAUUUAAGAUCGAGCACUAGAUCCGCUCAUAAAAUGUACCAAAAAGAAGAACUUAAAAGCUAAUAGAGCACAUAGCGAGCUGUGAGAUGAAAUAACGUUAUUAAGCUAGUAACCUCAUCUCUCUUUCUUACCUGUCCUUAUCACCCUUUAGUAGUGGGCAACCUUUCUUCCCUGCCUUUCUUCCAGCUUUUCCUAGAUAAAAAUAUUUCUUAGUGCAUUUUCUUUCGUGACUUUAGUUAAAAAAUUUGUCAAUUUAUUUAACCAAACCAAAAUGGGGGCUUCGUAGUGUACAUGCUGAUUUUCUAUGUACUUGUGUCAAUGUCUGACGUUAUGAUAAGCAAGUACGUUUGUCCCUUUUAAGCUCCCUAGACCUUGGCUGUUAAUUGCGAGUGGUAGUUGAAGAUUCCAGCCACCCAAUGUGGAUUCACGGCUACAAAUAUUCUUCCUCAAUUAAUCAAAUUUAUUAGUUUGCUCGUCAAAUUAAAAUUAUUCAUUUCGUGAUUGUCUGAACGAAUGAACGUAUUAAAGAAAGAAAUUUACGGGUCACUUGCACCCUCGUAUUAGUUUUCAUUCAAUUGUAAUUUUAAAUUUACUGGUUAAUACAAUACCAUAAUACAAAUGUAUGGAAUUGAAGUUUUACGUUACCUUAUUAUUGAAAAAUAUCAUUUGAAACGACAAACUUUGUUAUUAUAGAAAAAUAUCAUUUGAAAUGACAAACUUUGGAUUAAAAAAUCAACUUAUAAGUUUCAAAAUAGUUUAAAUUCUUCCCUAGUUUAUAAGUUUCUAGUCAUCAUACAACCAAUUUGUUUUACAUUCCAAAAAAUAUAUAUAAAAAAAAUUCUUUUGUUUACACAAUGUGCACUCUAUUAUUUGUCAUAAAAUUGUACAUUACUAUCAUGGAAAUUUUAAGUCUUUUAUAAGCAUAUAUUCAAUUAUACUGUUCGAACGCAGAUUAUUAUUUUAUUCAAACAUUUAGGUGUAACGAUUCAAUAUUUUUAUAAAUAAACCUAAAUGAAAAAAGUUCCAAAGCUGACUUCCACCAAAAUAAAAUAAAAAUUAAAAAUGAGAAAUAUUAGAUGUAUUUAUUCCCUUUUCACUUUAUUGUCAGGCUUCACCAACAAGACAAUUGUGUUGAAAGUUGUGCAUUUUUUGGUAGCUUUGUUCCCUCAACUUGAGAACGAAAUAUAGCUGUCAUUGCUUAUUGCUCCACAUUUUUUAAUGUAUGUGUAUUUUCCAAGAGAUUAUCUUGGGAUUUGCUUCAUUUCCCCCCUCCAUGAAAUUAGGUUUAAUUAAUUUUUGGAUAGAAAACGUGCAUUUCGCACAUGCUGCUUUGUGCUAGAACUGGGCAGUCUACCCGAUCAUCGAAUCAAAAGAUCGAAUUAGGUGAACUUUCAACUAAAAAAUCGAUCAAAAACAAAAUCGAAGAGUCUGCUUGAUUUGUCAAUUUCAAGAGCAUUUAUCUUUUAUGAUCAAUUUUUUAAUUUUUUACAACCUCAUCCUAAAAUUGAAAUUUUUGAUUGGUUUGGAAAAUCGACUGACUUUCCUCGAGGUAAUAUAUUCAUCUCUACUUUGGGCCUUCCUAAUGAAGUUGAAUAGAAUCAAAGAUCAAGUAUUCGGCGUUUAAAACAAAUGACCAUAGUCUUUUCAAAUACACGUUGGCUUUAAAAAUAGUUGUGGUUUCUCUUGAUCUUGAAUAAAAAAUGAUCAAUGAUUUGUUGAAGGCAUAAAAACUCAACAGAUAGCAAUAAGGCAGGGUAAGGCAGGUUGUGGACGACUAUUAUCAUCUUCAUCAUAUGGAUUUUCGGCCGGGAGGAGAUUAUAAAAUCUUCAUUUAUCGUUGUGUUUAUUUAUUUAUUAAAUAAAAUUUAAAUUAAAUUAAAAAUAUAAAAAAUACUAAAUAAAAAUAUUCAGGAUGGAGACUAUAAUUCUUGUUUGUCAAUAUAAAUUCUAUUAAUUAUAAAUAAAGUUAAUUUUUGGGGUAAAUCGUUUUAAAAGUUGUCUAUUUCUUUUUCCCCCACUUUAAAACGAAGAUGCUUGAUUAAUCAUUCAAAAUCUUUGUUAAAAUAUUUUGCGUGGAUUUUUAUACGACGAUUAUUAUUUCAUUUAUGUGUAGGUCAAAAAGAACUUGUAUACAAUAUCAUUUUAUAUUUAAAAGAUAAAACGACAUAAUAUAAUACAAUUACUUUCACAUUUUGGGACUUUUAGCUUUAUUUCAUUUCUUUUAACCUAAUUUGUUGUAUGAAGUCAACAAAGCACAAUGAACGAAAGUUUCUUUUGAAUCAUCAACUACGUCUCAAAUAUAAAUAAAAAUAAAGUAAAACUCCCUUUUAUAUAACAUUUUAGAUAUAUCUUACUUUUUUACUUUCAAAAAAAUAUUGUUGCUUAUAUUUAAAUAACUCUCUUUGACUUACUUAUUUUUGAACUUAUAAUUUAUAAGUAGAAAACAUAUUAUUUGUUACUAAUAAAAUUUAAAAUAAGAGAGUUAUUCAUCUUGAAAAUAGAAUAAGAGUUGCUUUCAAAAAAUUCCUUAAAAAUAAAUUAUCCAAAUACGUUUAAAGAUAAAAAAAUUACUUAAAAGCAAUUAAUAUACUUAACCAAACAUGCUUGACAUUCGCAUGCGCCUUAAUUUAUUUUCUUUUCUUUGUUUAUAAAAAUAUUGCUCGAUAUCUCUAUAACUUUGUUUUGCCUAUUUUCGAAUGAUUCCGAAUAUUCCUUGAUUACCAACUUUUAUGUUUUGCUUAUUUUUAGUGCAGGGGGCCCCAUAAGUCACAUUUUCAAUCAAUUACGUAUUAAUUACUUUCUUGAUAACCUUUUUCCAGCUUAUAAUCGUCUUGUCCUCUUAUGGUGGCUAUUUCGCAAAAAAUAAAUAAAUAAAAAUAUAAUAAUAAUAAAAUAAAAAACUUCUACUUACUAAAACACUCGGGGAAAAAAAAAUUCGUUAGCUACCAAAAAUGCUUUAAAUUUUAUCUUUCUGUCUUUUAUCUAUAAUUAGUCAAAGUACCCGAGUUGCACGUAAUUAUGUAAUAAUAUUUUUAAUUAUUUAUAUAUCUAUACGAUUAUAAUAUAUUAAUUUAGACAAAAAGGUGUGUAUAUGAACUUGAAUAAUGAAUUUACACCCUUAAUUAAUUGAAUAAUUUUUAAAUAAUUAAGUGUACGAGAGAUUGAAGAAUGAAUUUAAGUCCUAACAGUUGUGAAAAUAAAUAAUGAGGUUGAAGAAUUAAUUUACACACAAAUACAUUACAUGAAACAAAAAAUUAAAAAAACAGCAAAAAAUAAAAAAAUAAAAACAAUUUGCAAAUCUUUGUAGCUAUGAAACUGUAUCAACAAUCUAAAAGAAAUUGGAGUAUAAGAUCUUCUGAAGAUUCUCCUUCCUCUAAUUGAUUGGUUGACGAUUAAAAUAAUGUCAUUGUUAUUAUAAAUUUAGCUGAUCGAGUUAUAUAAUAUUAUCAAAGGAGAUUGGAAAAUAGAGUUAAACUUUAUGCAAUCGGCUAAAAUUCAAUAGCUCCAACCAGAAAUCAAUUCGAGUAAAGUUUCACAAAUGAAAACCAUAAUUCUAUAUGUAUUAGUCCUUUGCCCGUACAUUGCACUAGCUAUGAUAUUUUUAAAAUAAUGUUAGUGCGUCAAAAGUUAAUGAAAAUCUAAAUUAUUUUGAAAGCCAAAUUAUUCUAAAAUGAAGUGUCAAAAACGUGCGGCAGUACUUCCUAGCCUCAUCAAGACCACAGUCAGUAGAUCCUAAAGCUGACAUCACUGGAGUUGUACUCCCUAUUAAGUCCCUAUUUGGCCCCCAUUUUCGAAAAAUGAAAAUUGAUGGAAUAGUGUUUUUUUUUAAAAAUGAGUUAUUGAAAAAAAAAAUUCGAGAAAGGAUUUUCGAUUUACGUGUAAUAUUAUUUUAUAGAAGAUUGUGUGGUUGAAAAUAUGAAAAAUAAAAAUGGAAUGUAAUGUGAUGAAAUUUAAUGAGGACCAAACGGGGUUAAUGUUGAAAAAGUUGAAUUCUCCCUCUUUUGAAAUGAGGAAAACAAGUCCCCAUUUGCCCCCAUUAUUGUAAAUUUUAAUGGGUGAAAUAGUAUUUUUUUUAAUAAUAUAGGAUUGAAAAAGAAUGAAUUUUUUUCGAUUUACGUGUAAUAUUAUUUUAUAGAAGAUUAUAUGAUUGAAAAUAAGAUAGAGAAUAAUAAAAUUUUAAUUUAAUAGACAAACAGGUACCAAAUAAUGUCAUUUUCAAGACACUGAAAAACAGCAUCCAGGAAAAACAUAUUACUAAAAAAAUACGUGCUUCAUCUAUCGAAGCCUGAUCAAUACCCUUCUCAAAAAUCAGUUCCACCUAUUUAAAUAGAAUAAAUAGAUAUAGCGAGUCAUAAUGCAUGCAUGCUAUAUUCGAGAUUUGGCUGCAACACUAAAAGAUAACACCAUAUUAGGUUUUAGGAAUAAUAGUUUAUCUUGCUUCCAGCGGAAGGGUGGAUGUUCAAUCUUAGUGGGAAUCUGCGGUCAGAUUUAUUUGGUAUGAAGCAAUCACUUUGAAGGAGGAUCUCUUGUGCGCAGAAGUGUACAAGCGGUGGGGGAACCUGUGAUCCAAUUGAGACAUAAUCCGCGAUUUACCCCCUCUAAGGUUCUAGGGACAAGGAUCUUGGGGGGUUCAGGAUUUAGUUUAGUGUAAGUUGGGAUACCUGGAUAUUAAAAAAAAAGAAAAAAAGAAUAGUUUGUAUUUCUAUCAUAUUCAACAUUAACCGAGCAUGGGUAGCGUAAACGCUAAGCAACUGUAAGGCAUCAUGCAUGUUUCUAGAGAAAAGGUAAAUAAUCCGUGAUAACCGCACCACAUUUAUACGAAAAGUCAAUGAAAGAACUGUAGUCAAAUGCAUAUGCAAGCCAUUGCAAGCAAAAGAUUAAUAUAUCGAAAAAUAUAUAACACAGCUACAUUUGUGAUGUAGCAUCAAGUUAUCUCAGUUUCGGAUGCAUAAUAUAUCUUGUGAAUGUUCAAUCCCAAACAUGCAUGCAACAGAGCAACUAUUAUGAAAGAAUCUGAGACCUCGUUUCUAAAAGCUCGACCAAUCUGCGCAACUGCAAAAGGGAGCCUUUUUCCCAUUGUAGUAUUACAAGUUUCUGAAGUUCACAAAAAUCCCUUCAGCCAUCUCAAAAAUCGACUUACAAAAAGAUUUAUAUUAAAAAAAAUCAUUAAAUUAAUGCAAUAAGUACAAAUUUGCAUAAUCCGAAGUAUAAAUACACAUUCUCACCUAGGGCUCAAAGCGGAUGGAUUUAGUGAUAUCUGAAACAUGAGAUUGAAUGGAUAGGGGUCGGAGAGGGGCUCUUAGCCCCCGUUUGGUCCCCAUUUUCUAAAAGUGAAAAUGAAUGGAUUAGUGUUUUUUUGAAAAAUGAGUAGCUGAAAAAAAAUGAAAGUUUUCGAUUUAUGUGUAAUAUUAUUUUGUGGAAAAUUAUGUGAUUGAAAAUAGAAAAGAGAAAAAUAGAAUGUAAUAGAAUUUAAGGUAAUGAGGGCCAAACUAGAGCUUAAUAUCUGGAGCUGAAAUGACAUAUUCCUUGAUCUUUGCACCGAGCUCUUCAGCAGAGAGGUCAACUAACAUGGCAAAGCACGUGCCUCAAUUCCGAUACCUUUUCCACACUUAGCUUAAGAUAUUUCCCAAGCUUGUCUCUGCAAUAAUCCUUUAGCACGUGAUCAUACGAACUGUAUGCAGUAAAAAAAUUCAAAAUCUCAAUUAAAGAAAAAAAUUUAAUUCACUCAAUUAGUAAUCACAGUUUGUACGAAUUAUUGAUUGAAAAUGGAGGCAGCGGAUCCAGGAUUUUGAGUCAGUAUAAACGGUUGUUGAUCGUCGAUCGUCGACCGCAAUAAAAUAUUAAGCGCCCGUUUGAUGUCAUUUUCUUAGCAAAAAAAUGCAUUUUGAAAUAGUGAUUUGAUAGAGAAUGUGUAGUUAAAAAUAAAUGAAAGUUUUGAAUUUGCGUAUAAUAUUUAUUUAUUAAAAAAAUGUAUGAUUAAAAAUAAGAUGGAUGAAAAUGUAUUUUGAAAUAAAUGAGAAUCAAACAAGGCCUAAAAUUUAAAUAUAACAAUUAUUUUGUUUCAAUUGAAUGUAUAUAAUUUUGUUAUAAGAAUAAAUUGUAUUUAUCAAAUGACAUUAUUGUCAAGUUUCGUAUAAUUUCAAUGAAGAGUACAAGUUUGGAUGAUUGUAAUUGCAUUAAAACCAGAUGUAACACAUAAUAUUUUGUUAAACUUAGAGUGAAAAAAGAGCAAUUGCCAUGAUGGUUAAGCUUGCAAUGAUUUUAGCACAAGGUCCUAGGUUCAAAUCUCUUCUGGCACUGAAUUAAUUUUGGUAAAAACAAAGAUUCUAGUGCUAAAAAUAUUGCAAAAUAACUCGGUUGCCAAAAGAUUCGAACUCGAGACCUGCAUCAUGUAUAUGCACAAUCUAACUAACUCGGCCAGAAGGAAUGAUUGGAACAAAGAUGAAUUACCAGUAAUAUAACCUAAAAUGUUGAUUGUUGUCAACCAAAAAAAAAAAAGAGCUGUUAGAGGAUUCAGGACGCACGACCGCGGGAGCUCGCCAGGUGCUGGAUCAGCCAGUGGGAGGUGUAGAAAUAAGUGGUGCUCGUUUAUCCUCUCUCCCAAUCAAUAAUUAUGGCUUUCCUUUUUAUUUUUUGGUCUAAAUAUGGAACAGUGAAAUGAUAGAAAUCACAAAUGAACAGUAAUCUUCAAAUUCCUUCAUUUCACAUUGAAUAAAGAUGAUAAUAUAUAUUAAUUUAAAUUUUUUAAAUUUUGAGUUAUGUUAUUAUUAGAGAAUAAAAUACAAAUUCAAAAUUUUAAAAUCCAAAGCAAAUGAAUUUUUAACGGGUGAAUUAUCCAGAAAUAAAAUUAAGGCAAAUUUUUUCUUCUUCAUGAGGCCGAGACCUAAGACCGGGUGGCGACUUAUGCCUCGCCUCGCCCUGCUAACCCGAUGGGUUUUUUUAGAGAUUGGGUUCUGCCAAGGCGGGACGGAUUUUUCUGCCACCUCUACUUUUUAAUAAGGUUGAUUUUUUAAGAUGAAAACUCAUAUUUUAAUAUAAUAUCAGAGUCCAUUAAGUUAAAGCGAGCAAUUCGAUUCAAUUAAAACUAAAAAAUGAGCACGUAAAUCUCAAGAUUGAUUUGCUCAAAUGAGCUACCAUCUUGCGGGAACGUGUUAAAGGAUAAAAUUUCACAUCGAAUAAAGAUGAAAAUUUGGACCCACUUAUAUAGACUUGACUAUUUUUCUUAAUAAAGUUAACAUUUUAAAAUGGAAUUCCAAGUUUUAAUAGUGACAAUUGGCAAGAUUGACCCGAAACAACUGCCACUUUGUUUUCUACAUUGCUUAUAAUAUGGAAUUCUCCUGGGAGCAAUGCUACAAGUACAACAGUUUGAUAUCAUAGUUGACAGUUCGCUAACAUACAAGAGGAGGGGCCCACGAUUAAAAUGAUUGCGGGUCCGACAAUUGUGUACACACAUCAUUUUCCUUCUCCUAGUUCUCUCAAUAGGGCUAUCAAAAAUUGUUGUAAUACUAUAAAAAAGUUGGGGAAUAAAUGAAUUCUAUUUUCUUCCGUGCUUUGUCAUCAUUGUGGAUGAAUAUUCUUAAAAAGAAUACUAGUGUAAAGCACCAAUCUCAAUGAUUUUUGCAUGACAUUAAAUAAUAAAUUUAUUUAAAUGUAACGUCACACGAUUUAUUUAAUUGAACAUGUCAAAUGUGGCUACUUAAACUGGCGUUAGAUAAUAUUAUUCUUUUAAAAAUUAAAGAAUUAAUAAAGAGAAUCCUUUUUGCCGAAUGGUUAAUGAUUUGUAAACCUGAGUGUUUAAACAUCGACAAAUUUUUACUUUUAAAAAAACUAUUAUAAUCUCAUCCAUUGAAAUCUAAGAAAGUUUAAAUCGAGAACAAAGUUUACCUUUGUUUGAUGUCUAUUAAAAAGAGCUUUUUUUUUCUUUUUUUU
rnacentral:lncRNA from 1 species